rnacentral:lncRNA from 1 species
GGGCGGCAGGAGCGGGAGAGGGGGACUAGUCGUACCCGGGCUACGCCGUGCAGCGCCUGGCCAGGUGGGUGGAGCAUGCGUUGCCUUUCUCCCUGCUCCUUCUCGGCGUCUUCAUCCGCCAACACCUCUAAGGUACGCGAAUCCGCGUGCAACACCUACCUCUUUCUUCUCUAUGUNNNNNNNNNNNNNNNNNNNNNNNNNNNNNNNNNNNNNNNNNNNNNNNNNNNNNNNNNNNNNNNNNNNNNNNNNNNNNNNNNNNNNNNNNNNNNNNNNNNNAAGGGAGAGCUCAUCAAAACCUCUAAGAUCUAUGAGGAGCUUCAAUCUACUCAUGAGAAGUCUCUAUUUGCUACUUACUCCUCUCAUAUUGUUGAUGAUACUUGUACAUCUAACUCUACCUCAUUUGAAGUAUCAACAUUGAAGGAGAAUGUUGAGCUACGUGCUCAACUUGAUUUACUAACUAGCAAUUAUGGGAAGUUGGAAGAAAACCAUGUAAUGCUCACAAGCUCUCAUGCCGAUCUUCUAACGUCCCAUAAUGUGCAAAAGUUAGCUUAUGACGCUAUCAUCACCAAGGUAACAUCAAGCGAGCCUCAUGUGGACAAUGGCACUACUUCUAGUCAAAGUACUAUAUUUUCAUGUGCUAGUCCUCGUAAUUCGUCUACUCAUAAUGUUGCUACCUCGUGUGAUGAAUUACUUUCCUUGCCUUGUUGCUCUAACAUUGAGGCUUACACUUCCUCUAGUACUUGCAUUGAUACUAACCGUGCAGAGGAAAUCAAAGAGCUCAAGGCCCAAGUCACUUCUUUGAAGAAAGACUUGGAACAGUGUCAUGAAGGGAUCUCCACACUCAACAACGCCCUGUGUGAGCAAACAUUUCCAAAUGACAAAAAUGAUGUUGGAGUAAACUCAAACAAGAACAAGAGUGGCCUAGAACGAGUUAAGAAUUCGGCCAAAAUCAUUUGCUUCAAGUGCAAAGUUAAAGGGCACNNNNNNNNNNNNNNNNNNNNNNNNNNNNNNNNNNNNNNNNNNNNNNNNNNNNNNNNNNNNNNNNNNNNNNNNNNNNNNNNNNNNNNNNNNNNNNNNNNNNUUCUAACUCUUUGGUCCCAAUGAGUUUGGGCACCAUUUUGUUUGUUUUGUUGUUCCAGGAACAACUGGAGAUGCAUUGGAUGCUCGGCUCACCUAUAAGGAAGAUGUUGAGACCAUGUGAUUAUUGGAGCCAAGUUAGGAUUAUCAAAGAACNNNNNNNNNNNNNNNNNNNNNNNNNNNNNNNNNNNNNNNNNNNNNNNNNNNNNNNNNNNNNNNNNNNNNNNNNNNNNNNNNNNNNNNNNNNNNNNNNNNNNNNNNNNNNNNNNNNNNNNNNNNNNNNNNNNNNNNNNNNNNNNNNNNNNNNNNNNNNNNNNNNNNNNNNNNNNNNNNNNNNNACCCAACCUGUCUUUUCUUUUCCAGGUUGCAUCAUGGCAUGAAUCUCUUGAUUUGUUCUCGUAGUACUUGUUUGCUUUCUCAAAGCAUCCGAACGAUGAUGUCUUACUGCUAGUUGGGAUGUCUUUGAUGUUCGUAUGUCGGAAGUUCAUAUUAUACAAUAAGAAAAUAUUAGGCCAUGUGCUAUGCUUCCAAGCAAAAGAUCUCAUUGAUAUAUUUAUGACUUCCCUUUUUGGAUAUCUAGUGUUCUUCCUUCUUGUAACCAUUUCGUGUGUACAUCCUUAUUUGUGGAUAUAUAUAUCAUCAUAAUUGUCUUCUACUUAGAAUCUUGUUCACAUGAGAGAAGUUACAUCUCUAAUUGAUAUCCUCUUUUCUUUCACGUCCANNNNNNNNNNNNNNNNNNNNNNNNNNNNNNNNNNNNNNNNNNNNNNNNNNNNNNNNNNNNNNNNNNNNNNNNNNNNNNNNNNNNNNNNNNNNNNNNNNNNAACAGAAUUAAAUAAUGAGAGUGGAGGAUUUUAUUGCUUAUUGUUUAACAAAUUAAACUUUGAUCGGUUGAUUAAAUACUGAGAAACUAUAAACUGAAUUUCACCAAGCAAGCUAUGUAAAUAUGGCAUCAAGUAGGCUGUCUUGAAAAUCACAAUCCACUAAGCUCACCUCAUGACUGAGGGUGUAAGAUUGAAAAUAACAAGAGAAACAUCAUCAUACACUACAGAGCAACAGUAGAGUGAGAUGAUUUUUAGAGCCACCAGUCCCCCUAGCAAGGCAAGCUCAAAGGCGAAGCCCCAUCCGAGGAAUGCGACGUUGUAGGGCACCAUCGCUUGAUCCGGAAGACCAAGGAUCUAAUGUUUCCUCUGGACCAAACAGGACGGAAGACGAAACUGCAGCACGAAGUUUCAACCUGUAGCCACGGUGAGGCAUCACAAUCUUUGGUAUUGACCGAAACCGGAGCCCGACAUGACACUGGCACCAUCGCUCCCCCAACCCUAUAGCCUGCUAGAACAAUAGCAAUAACGUUGAUACAACACAUAAGAACCUCAAUCCCUUAAGAGCAGUCUGCUUGCCAGAACAACUAAUUAAUUAACCUCUAGAAGCACAACAAGCACGCUCACACACAAGGUAAGAAGUACAAACCUUGAGAGCGGUCUGCUUGCACAAAAUAUCAUUGGACUUGAACAUGACUGCACAAAUCCAAAUCAUCACGAAGAAAGCUACACAAUAUAAACUUCAUUGGAAUUAGGAACUUGCCAUCAUCUUGUGACCAGCUACUCUCCGCAAUAUUUGGGCAGAGCACAACAAAAUAAAUCGAAUCAAACUCGCGUCACAAAUUCACUCGUAUAGCCUAAUGACGGAUACCCUCACGCUACAUAGAGAAGAAAGAGGUAGGUGUUGCACGCGGAUUCGCGUACCUUACAGGUGUUGGCGGAUGAAGACGCUGUGCAGGAGCAGGGAGAAAGGCAACGCGUGGUCCACCCACCUGGCCAGGCGCUGCACGGCGUAGCCCAGGUACGACUAGUCCCCCUCCCCCGCUCCUGCCGCCCGCGCCGACCUCGUUGCCCUGCGCUGCGGAGGCCUCCUCGUCCAUAGGCUUCUGCCCUCCCGUCCCCCCCCCCCGACGCCACGCGAGUAGUCGGGCCUGGCAAUCUGAAUCGACACCUCCUCGUUGGCCCCCGCAGCAGGCUCCCCGCGCAGGGGCCCGCGGGACGCCCGAGGAGUACUUUUUGGGCGAGCUCCACUCGCAGACACAAACAGCUCGAGCACAGGAUGCGCCAUCCCUCGUUGCGAGAACCACCGCCCUCCCCACGUCCAAGAGCAUGAACGACGCGCGCAGAGGAGCGCCGCAUGAGCCCUCGCUCGCAGUUGAGCGGCUCCAGCACGCCAAAGGCGAGCGUCGCGCCGCUGUUGCCGUCGCACGAGCCCACGCGCGCAGCUGAGCGGCUCGAGCACGCUAGAGGCUCCGCCUGCGCUAGAUCUACACGGGGGCUUUUCCCGAUGGACACAAACGGGCGGCGUUGAGCGAAGGAGGAGAAGGGGGCGGCUGCUACCUAGGGUUUUUUUACAAAAAAAAACAUUUUUUUCCAGUAAAUGACGGAAUACGGGUUGAUUUUGAUAAACCGAAGGGUAUUUUAGCAAAAAAGCCNNNNNNNNNNNNNNNNNNNNNNNNNNNNNNNNNNNNNNNNNNNNNNNNNNNNNNNNNNNNNNNNNNNNNNNNNNNNNNNNNNNNNNNNNNNNNNNNNNNNGAGGAUAAGGCUGUGUUGGGCACUCUCUCACGAAGUGGGAGGGGGGGGGGUAUUUAUAGUGGGGAGAGAAAAACAGCCGUUGGGGACAGUUUAAGUCACAGAGGGGUCGGACAUCCAGCAGUUCACGGAUGUCCUGGCGUCCACAAGNNNNNNNNNNAUUUAUAGUGGGGAGAGAAAAACAGCCGUUGGGGACACUUUAAGUCAUAGAGGGGUCGGACAUCCAGCAGUUCACGGAUGUCCUGGCGUCCACAAGGGGUCGGACGUCCGACAGGGGUCGGACGUCCGAGGGCUGUAAAUAUAUCUGGAACCACUGUGGAGUUGAACGGGCACCGGACGUCCGGGAAGGCCGGAAGUCCGAGUUAUUCGACUCAAACUUCUCUGGUGCAAGAUUCCGGAUUUCCGAAAGGGGACGGACGUCCGGCCCUCGGACGUCCGGAGAGAGCCGGAAGUCCGAGUUAUAUGGCUCAAGUUUCUCUGGUGCAAAGCUCCGAAUUUCGGAAGCUGGUCGGACGUCCGGCCCUCGGACGUCCGGAGGGAGCCGGAAGUUCGAGUUAUAUGGCUCUGAUUUCUCUGGUAAAGGAUUUCGGAUUUCCGAAGCAGGUCGGACGUCCGGCCCUCGGACGUCCGGAGGAGGCCGGAUGUCCGAGGCACUCGUCCUGUUAUCUGAUAACAGCAGAGCAGUGGAGAUGUGGUAUGAGCAGAGCAGUGGAGAUGUAGUUNNNNNNNNNNNNNNNNNNNNNNNNNNNNNNNNNNNNNNNNNNNNNNNNNNNNNNNNNNNNNNNNNNNNNNNNNNNNNNNNNNNNNNNNNNNNNNNNNNNNGCUCUAUAAGUUGUCUUUCGUCCCAGAAAAAAUAAAAAGAGAAGUUUUCAUCACGUUUUCGAUACGGAGGCGCCACCACCUCCUGUUCUUCAUCUGGAGGGAAGAUCUGGAGUCCGUCUUGGGCUCCGGAGAAGGGAAAUCAUCGCCAUCGUCAUCAUCAACCUUCUCCCCUCUCCAAUUCCAGGAAGCUCUUCGUCGUUCGUGAGUAAUCUAUUUGUAGGCUCGCUGUCGGUGAUGAGUAGGAUGAGAUCUAUCAUGUAAUCGAGUUAGUUUCGAUGGGGAUUGAUCCCUAGUAUCCACUAUGUUCUGAGAUUUGAUGUUGCUACUACUUUGCCAUGCUUAAUGCUUGUCACUAGGGCCCGAGUGCCAUGAUUUCAGAUCUAAAAUUAUUAUGUUGUCACCAAUAUAUGUGUGUUUUAGAUCCGAUCUUGCAAGUUGUAGUUACCUACUAUGUGUUAUGAUCCGGCAACCCCGGAGUGACAAUAACCGAAACCACUCCUGGUGAUGAUCAUAGUUUGAGGAGUUCAUGUGUUCACCAAGUGCUAAUGCGNNNNNNNNNNUUAUCCGGCAACCCCGGAGUGAAAAUAACCGGAACCACUCCCAAUGAUGAUCAUAGUUUGAGGAGUUCAUGUGUUCACCAAGUGCUAAUGCGUUGGUCCGGUUCUUUAUUAAAAUGAGAACCUUAAUAUCCCGUAGUUUCCUUUUGGACCUCGCUGCAACGGGAGGGAUGGACAAUAGAUGUCAUGCAAGUUCUUUUCCCUAAGCACGUUUGAUGACACACGGAAUGCAUGCCUACAUCACAUUGACGAACGGGAGCUAGCCACAUAUUUCUCCGUGUUAUAGCUGUUGCUUGAUGAAUAUCAUCCAAACAAAUCAUCGACCAAUUGCCUACGAGUUUGUCCUAGUGUUGCUACUGUUGUUACUUGUCUUGCUCUGCUGCUGCUGCUACUACUNNNNNNNNNNUUAUCUCUCCGUGUUAUAGCUGUCGCAUGAUGAAUAUCAUCCAAACAAAUCACCGACCCAUUGCCUACGAGUUUGUCCUACUGCUGUUACUUGUCUUGCUUUGCUGCUGCUACUACUGUUGCUACUGCUGUUACUUGUCUUUCUCUGCUGCUGCUACUACUGUUUCUACUGCUGUUACUUGUCUUGUUCUGCUGCUGCUGCUACUACUGUUGCUACUACUGUCGCUUGCUACUGUUGCUNNNNNNNNNNNNNNNNNNNNNNNNNNNNNNNNNNNNNNNNNNNNNNNNNNNNNNNNNNNNNNNNNNNNNNNNNNNNNNNNNNNNNNNNNNNNNNNNNNNNGGAAAUAUUAGAUAUUUAUAUACUAGCGUCCGUCCAUGGCCGUCGUAACGCUCAACGUUCUUACUAUUUUUAAAAUUUACAAUUAUUCUUUCCUCGUUUCAUAAUUCCGUGAUUAUUAAUUACUAGCAAAAAUGCCCGUGCGUUGCAACGGGAGAAAAAAUCGACCCUAUUUUCAAAGAGGUGCCACAUCUGGAGUUCAUGUGAGCCAUACACGACACUCUUUGUUAUAUGUCGAAAACGUAACAAAAGAGUUGGUAGUGAUCCACAAAUAGGGUCAGCUAGAUCCAUAAUGAGAACGGUGCUAGCAUCCAUAUGUGGACAUUUUUUAAGUAGCAUGUUGACUUUGGUAGUGAUCCAAAGAGGGCAGUGGCGGCCGUCGAGAGGUGGCCGACAUGAUCAUAGUCCAAAACCAAAUUCAAUCGGAUGUUGGAUUGGGGGUGGGGCCCAACCCCAUUGUGGACGUGAAUGGUGCUAGCCUCAAUAUGUGGACAUUUUUUAUACUAGCAAAAGAGCACGUGCGUUGCAACGGAAGAAGAAAAUCUUACACGUCCUAAUUUGUAUUUUCACUUGAAUGGCACAUAUUAUGAUUGAAAUUUGUUUGCAGAUGAAAAAGAGAGCAAUUUGAUUUAGUACCAACUUCCACAUUGUACAUUUUUUCAAUACAUUAUACCUUUUCAUCUUUAACUCGAGCACGAGAGUAAAUUAUAGCUUUGCAUGUUUAACUAAAGCACCAAAGUGUAUGCACGAAAGCUUUGGUUUGUAUCCCACAUAAGACCUUUUUUAACCUACACAAGAGAAAUCUAGUCCGUAUGUGCCUCAUCCUUUUGCACAUAUCGUCAAAAUGUCGUUCAAAGAAAUAGCUAGCACGGACCUGAAAGAGAUAGAAACAUACAUUUUUCUGAAUAUUACUACACUACAUACUUCUGGGUACCAUUUUCUUUCUCAAUCAUCAUGAUUACCUGGCAAGAUCACUAAUUUGUGUUGCUGAAAUUUCAUCGUAGUAGAGAGGGGUUCGAGAAGGGAACUGCCAAAUAAAGAGAGGAAGAAGACAAUAUGAAUUUGUAAUAGAUCGGUAAUUGGUUUGAACUAUAAAACAAAUGUUGAGCUCUGAAUUCUGAAGUAGAGAGCAAACUUAUUGUAUUAGCUACACCUAGCUAGCUGUGCAUUGAUGCAUCAUAGUAAGAAUGCCAUGGUGAUGAACGUUACCAAAAAACACAAACUAACUAUUGUUUGUGCCUAUUGUUUCUCAAAGACAUACCAAACCAUGCAAAAUCUGUUCAAUGAAAUCAGCUAUUACUUUUAUGUAAAAGUCUAAUUAUAGUUGAGGAACUGAGCAUCAAUACUUAUCAUCUACUACAGACUGGUAACCAAGAAAAAAGAAGAGCUUGAAAUUCAAAUCAUUUGAGUACCUCCGUGGCAAUCUUGAUAAGCUUGUCAUUUGUGUGAAUUGCAUCAUUAUACAUGUAAUAUCAAGUGGAUUUUCUUGGGCCUCUCACUUUCUCUCCAAUCCAUGAAUGAUAUAUGUGAUUACGUGAAUUAGAUCGAGACUGUACACUGUGUGGUUGUCCCUAAAAGCAACUAGCGCCAUGUAUUUUGAGAUCCUUUGCCAUGGCCUGAUCUUGCCAUUCACUCCUGGAGUNNNNNNNNNNGUGGCUCCAUUCGUCGCUCGUGCUCCGGAUCCGAACAACAGCCUCGCCUUCGACCUGAUACGGACGCCCACAGGCUCCACCGCUUACGCCAUGGCCCAGAGGUGUGGCCGCACCGCCCAUCCUCGCUGCUUCCUCUGCUCACUGCUCGUGUUAACCAAAAUUUACUGCCAAACAGAAUUAGAUGCAUGAGAAGAUAGAUGAAAAGAUAGAUGUUUAAUUGAAAUGGACCAAGUUAGCUAGCUAGCUAAAUGAAAAGAUAGAUGCAUGAGAAACUAGCUCCAUUGCCAAACAGAAUUAAAUAAUGAGAGUGGAGGAUUUUAUUGCUUAUUGUUUAAUAAAUGAAACUAUGAUCGGUUGCUUAAAUAAUGAGAAACUAUAAACAGAAUUUCACCAAGCAAGCUAUGUAAAUAUGGCACCAAGUAGGCUGUCUUGAAAAUCACAAUCCACUAAGCUCAACUCAUGACUGAGAGUGUAAGAUUGAAAAUAACAAGAGAAACAUCAUCAUACACUACAAAGCAACAGUUGAGUGAGAUGAUUUUCAGAGCCACCAGUCCCCCUAGCAAGGCAAGCUCAAAGGCGAAGCCCCAUCCGGGGAAUGCGACGUUGCAGGCCACCAUCGCUUGAUCCGGAAAACCCAAGAUCCAAAGUUUCCUCCGGACCAAACUCAAGGGAAGACGAAACUGCAGCACGAAGUUUCAACCUGUAGCCACGGUGAGGCAUCGCAGUCUUUGGUAUUGACCGAAACCGGACCCCGACAUGACUGGCACCAUCGCUCCCCCAACCCUGUAGCCUGCUAGAACAAUAGCAAUAACAUUGAUACACCACAUAAGAACCUCAAGCCCUUGAGAGCAGUCUGCUUGCCAGAACAACUAAUUAAUUAACCUCUAGAAGCACAACAAGCACGCUGACACACAAGGUAAGAAGUACAAACCUUGAGAGCGGUGUGCUUGCACAAGAUAUCGUUGGACUUGAACAUGACUGCACAAAUCCAAAUCAUCACGAAGAAACCUACACAAUAUAAACUUUAUUGGAAUUAGGAACUUGCCAUCAUCUUCUGACCAGCUACUCUCCGCAAUAUUUGGGCAGAGCACAACAAAAUAAAUNNNNNNNNNNNNNNNNNNNNNNNNNNNNNNNNNNNNNNNNNNNNNNNNNNNNNNNNNNNNNNNNNNNNNNNNNNNNNNNNNNNNNNNNNNNNNNNNNNNNAUGGGUGAACAAAUUACUGUCGAGCAAUUGAUAGAACUGUGCAGAGUCGUGACGAUAUCUAUGCAAUGAUUAUUUCUAUAGGCAUCACGUCCGAAACAAGUAGACCGAUACUUUCUACAUCUACUACUAUUACUCCACACGUCGACCGCUAUCCAGCAUGCAUCUAGUGUAUUAAGUCCAUAAGAAAAGAGUAACGCCUUAAGCAAGAUGACAUGAUGUAGAGGGAUAAUCUCAAACCAAUGAUAAAAACCCCAUCUUUUUAGCCUUGAUGGCAACUGCUUGAUGUGUGCCUUGCUGCCCCUAUUGUCACUGGUAAAGGUCGCCACAUGGCAGAACCCAAAACCAAGCACUUCUCCCAUUGCAAGAAUCAUAGAUCUAGUUGGCCAAACAAAACCCAAGACUCAGAGAGACUUACAAGGAUAUCAAAUCAUGCAUAUAAGAAAUCAGCAAAGACUCAAAUNNNNNNNNNNAAAACCAAUGAUAAAAACCCCAUCUUUUUACCCUUGAUGGCAACUACUUGAUGUGUGCCUUGCUUCCCCUACUGUCACUGGGAAAGGUCACCACAUGGUAGAACCCAAAACCAAGCACUUCUCCCAUUGGAAGAAUCAUAGAUCUAGUUGGCCACACAAAACCCAAGACUCGAAGAGACCUACAAGGAUAUCAAAUCAUGCAUAUAAGAAAUCAGCAAAGACUCAAAUAUAUAUAUCAUAGAUAAUCUGAUCACAAAUCCACAAUUCAUCGGAUCUCCACAAACACACCACCAAAGAAGAUUACAUCGGAUAGAUCUCCAUGAAGAUCAUGGAGAACUNNNNNNNNNNNNNNNNNNNNNNNNNNNNNNNNNNNNNNNNNNNNNNNNNNNNNNNNNNNNNNNNNNNNNNNNNNNNNNNNNNNNNNNNNNNNNNNNNNNNUGAAUGAUGAAGACCCCUUAAUUAUUCAUUAUGUAUCCAAGUCUCUAAUGUCCUCCAUAAUCACCUAUUGAUCAAGUUUGAGCUUGUUGGUCCCCAACUACGUUGGGUCCUAAGAGGUUAAUCACAAUAGGCUUGGCAACCCAAAUGGUUCUUUUCUUGACACCAUUUUGAGUACCAACAGACUUGGCAAACACAUUGCCAACCUUAUCCUUCCCAAGGGAAUAGAUAUCAUCAAUAGUGAUUGGGUUGGAUAAGUUACCUNNNNNNNNNNUACAAUAGGCUUGGCAACCCAAAUGGUUCCUUUCUUGACACCAUUUUGAGUACCAACAAACUUGGCAAACACAUUGCCAACCUUAUCCUUUCCAAGGGAAUAGAUAUCAUCAAUAGUGAUUGGGUUGGAUAAGUUACCUCUUGUGCAAGACGAAGCGACGUGACCCUUCUCACGACAUAAGUAGCAACGUCUACCCUUUGCUUUCUUCCCAGUUGAUUUCUCACCUCGGGGAGUGUUGGCCUGGGUCUUAUUGGGAAGAGGCCUUCCUUCAACUUGUAGUUGAAUAUGUGAUUGAGUUUGUGGCCGCUUCCCUUGUUGCUUGUGACUUUGAGACNNNNNNNNNNGACGACAUAAGUAGCAACAUCUACCCUUUGCUUUCUUCCCAGUAGAUUUCUCACCUCGGAAAGUGUUGGCUUGGGUUUUAUUGGGAAGAGGCCUUCCUUCAACAUGUAGCUGAGUGUGUGAUUGAGUUUGUGGCCGCUUCCCUUGUUGCUUGUGACUUUGAGACUUCGUCUUCAGAGGGCAAGAUCUAACAUGGUGCCCUUUAACUUUGCACUUGAAGCAAAUGAUUUUGGCCGAAUUCUUGACUUGUUCUAGGCCCCUCUUGUUCUUGUUUGAGUUUACUCCAAACUCAUUUUCGUCAUUCGGAGAUGUUUGCUCACACAGGACGUUGUUGAGUGUGGGCAUCCCUUCAUGACACUGUUCCAAGUCUUUCUUCAAAGAAGUGACUUGGGCCUUGAGCUCUUCGAUUUCCUCUGCACGGUUAGUGUCAAUGCAAGUACUAGAGGAAGUGUAAGCUUCAUUGUUAGAGCAACAAGGCAAGGAAAGUAAUUCAUCACACGAGGUAGCAACAUUAUGAGUAGACGAAUUACGAGGACUAGCACAUGGAAAUAUAGUACUUUGAUUAGAAGUGGCGCCAUUGUCCACAUGAGGCUCACUUGAUGUUACCUUGGUGAUGAUAGCCUCAUGAGCUAACUUUUGCACAUUAUGGGAUGUUAGAAGAUCGGCAUGGGAGCUUGUGAGCAUUACAUGGUUUUCUUCCAACUCCCCAUAAUUUCUAGUUAGUAAAUCAAGUUGAGCACGUAGCUCAACAUUCUCCUUCAAUGUUGAUGCUUUAAAAGAGAUAGGGUUAGAUGCACAAGUAUCAUCAACAAUAUGAGAGGAGUAAGUAGCGAUUAGAGACUUCUCAUGAGGAGAUUGAAGCUCCUCAUAGAUCUUAGAGGUUUUGAUGAGCUCUCCCUUGACAUUCUUGCAUUCAAGGAGAAGGACCUCAAAAUCCUUUUUAAGUUUAUCAUGAGCAACUGCAAUCUCUCCUUUUGAAGAUCUUAAGUCUCUACAUGCUUGAUGACUCUUCUCAAGCUCAUGUUCAAGUUGUUCACUUUUAACUUGUUCAUGAUUAAGUGAAACAUUACAAUUUUCAAAGUAAGCAAGAACAUCUUGGAAUCUUCGAAGAGCGUUAUUUUCAGCUUUAUGAAGAAUUUUACUGAUCACAUAGAUAUUUUCAGUCAAGUCAUCAUCAUCAUCCUCAUCGCAAAUAUCAUCGUUAUUGCACAGGGAAGAUGAUACCUCAUUAUUACCUCUUGCCAUGAGGCACAUGUGAACUGGAGGAGUUGAUGAUGAUUCUUUUGGUGAAUCAGAUUCUUCAUUAGUGAAAAGUACUUCAUAUUUCUUGGUAUCCCCUAAAUGAUUAGUCAUAGGGCAACUAGGGAGAAACAAGAUAUUUUGAUCAAGAGGACAUGGGAAAGCAGGCAUAUGACCACAUACAUUUGUCGAGGGAUCUUUAGGUGAAAUGCAUGACCUAUCAGCACAAUAAUUUACACUAUGUGUGGUGCUCGAUAUGCUCGUGUCCAUGGAGGCUAUGAAAUUUUCAUCAACAUGUAUUUCUUCACUCACCAUAUCGUUACCUUGUGAGAUUGAAGAUGAUGAGGUGUGCAAGCAAUCGGAUAUGGAAGUAGUGGUGGACUCUUUAUGAUCGAAAAGAGUGAAGAGCUCAUGCACCAACUUCUUCAUCAUAAUAUCGUCUUCAUCAAGAUUGGACCCACCAUAUAUAUCUUCAAGUUUAGUCCAAACUUCAUGAGCUGACUUGCAAGUCGAGAUAGACUUAAACACUUCAGGACUUAUGGUUCGAUGAAUGGCAAGAAAAGCCUCACAAUCAAGAUACAUUUCAUUAGUAGAUGAAGAUGCAUCAUCCUUUUUGUCGNNNNNNNNNNAGAUAUGCUCGUGUCCAUAGAGGCUAUGACAUUUUCAUCAACAUAUAUUUCUUCAGUCACGAUGUCAUUACCUUGUGAGAUUGAAGAUGCUGAGGUGUGCAAGCAAUCGGAUAUGGAAGUAGUGGUGGACUCUUUAAGAUCGAAAAGAGUGAAGAGUUCAUGCACCAACUCCUUCAUCAUAAUACCGUCUUCAUCAAGAUUGGACCCACCAUAUAUAUCUUCAAGUUUAGUCCNNNNNNNNNNACAAUCCCUACAAGAACAAUUCGUAAAGUAUUUGGGGCCAUGGCUCGAAAGUGAUGAAGCAUAUGAAUUCUCCAUAGGGUAUAAUUUGUGCCAUCAAAGUCAAAGGUGUCAUUGUGCACUAAUUCAAUAGUCGACAUCGAUACUCUCUAGGUCGUGAAACCUAAUUAAAGAGAGACCUUGCUCUGAUAUCAAUUGAAAAGACCUCAAUGACGCCUAGAGGGGGAGGUGAAUAGGCUAUUUAAAAACUUCUUCGGAUUUGGCUUGAACCUAACGCGGAAAUAAACUAAGAGGGUACUUGUCAAGCACAAAUCCUAAAUGCACUAGACACUUCAAACGUGUAUCAACAACACGAUCUACCAAGAUGGACACAAUACAGUUACUAACAAGCACAAGUAAGUUACACAAACUUACUUGAGCUAUAUCACACGNNNNNNNNNNGCAAUCCCUACAAGAACAAUUCGUAAAGUAUUUGGGCCCAUGGCCCGAAAGUGAUGAAGCAUACGAAUUCUCCAUAUGGUAUAAUUUGUGCCAUCAAAGUCAAAGAUGCCAUUGUGCACUAAUCCAAUAGUCGACAUCGAUACUCUCUAGGUCGUGAAACCUAAUUAAAGAGAGACCUAGCUCUCAUACCAAUUGAAAAGACCUCGAUGACACCUAGAGGGGGGGUGAAUAGGCUAUUUAAAAACUUCUUCGGAUUUGGCUUAAACCUAAUGCGGAAAUAAACUAAGAGGAUACUUGUCAAGCACAAAUCCUAAAUGCACUAGGCACUGCAACGUGUAUCAACAACACAAUNNNNNNNNNNUACACUGCAACAUGUAUGAACAAUACGAUCUACCAAGAUGGACACAAUACAGUUAGUAACAAGCACAAGUAAGUUACACAAACUUACUUGAGCUAUAUCACACGACAAGUAGGUGAACGACACAAGAUACUAGAUCACACUAUAUCACACGAUAUAUCAAAAGCUGCAAGUGUGAACGUGUGGAUAUAAAGGGUAUGCUUGAAUGAUUAAUCUUGUACAAGAAANNNNNNNNNNCGAUAUAUCAAAAGCUGCAAGUGUGAACGUGUGGAUAUAAAGGAUAUGCUUGAAUGAUUAAUCUUGUAUAAGAAAUAGCCAACACAAUAUAAUGAGCACAAANNNNNNNNNNNNNNNNNNNNNNNNNNNNNNNNNNNNNNNNNNNNNNNNNNNNNNNNNNNNNNNNNNNNNNNNNNNNNNNNNNNNNNNNNAGCCAACACAAUAUAAUGAGCACAAACAAUAUGCAAUGUAUGUAUGCUCAAGUAACACAAGUAAACCACAAGUCAGGAAUUAGGGUUAAGGAUAACCAAGGUCACUGAGACAAAGAUGUAUCCCGAUGUUCACUUCCUUGGAGGGAAGCUAGUCACCUUAGAGAGGUGGAUGUUACCACGAAGGCACACCAACNNNNNNNNNNNNNNNNNNNNNNNNNNNNNNNNNNNNNNNNNNNNNNNNNNNNNNNNNNNNNNNNNNNNNNNNNNNNNNNNNNNNNNNNNNNNNNNNNNNNUUGGAUAGAUUUAAUUGUAUCAUUAAAAUCAUGAUUAGGAGGCAAAGAUUUUUAAGAGUUUCUACAUCAAGAGCAAUUCUAUCCAUGUUUUUAGCCAAAGUAUCAAUGACAUGCAAUUUUUCUUCUACCAUAGUAUUGAAAACUUUUUGAGAAUUAAAAAAUUCCUUCAUUGUGUUCUCAAGAUAAGAGGGUAUACUAUUAGAAUUUGUAGAAGAAUUUCCAUAAGAAUUUCCAUAACCAUUAGGAACAUUACCGGGAUAUGGCCUAGCAUUGAAAUUACCCCUAUAAGCAUUGUUGUUGAAAUUAUGUCACGAGACAAAGUUCACAUCAAUAGCAUCAUUAUUUUUAUCAAUCAAGGUAUACAAGGGAAUAUAAUUGGGAUCAACAUAACUAUUUUUUAGCAACUAAAUUCAUAGGAGCAUCCACCUUUUCACUCCAAGUAGCGACUUCCUCAACAUAAUUUACCUUCUUAGCGGUUGGAACUGGCUUUGUAUGCCAUUGAGAAUAGUUUGUCAGGAUGUNNNNNNNNNNNNNNNNNNNNNNNNNNNNNNNNNNNNNNNNNNNNNNNNNNNNNNNNNNNNNNNNNNNNNNNNNNNNNNNNNNNNNNNNNNNNNNNNNNNNGGGCAAAGCAUGAUCAACACCAGAACUGUAUGGGUGUUAGAUUUAUUACAAUGUAAUUCGCAUGAUGAUGUGAGGGCUAGAUUAUUGACUCUAGUGCAAGUGGGAGACUGUUGGAAUUAUGCCCUAGAGGCAAUAAUAAAUAUAGUUAUUAUUAUAAUUCCUGUAUCAAGAUAAUCGUUUAUUAUCCAUGCUAUAAUUGUAUUGAAUGAAGACUUAUAUACAUGUGUGGAUACAUAGACAAAACACUGUCCCUAGCAAGCCUCUAGUUGGCUAGCUAGUUGAUCAAAGAUAAUCAUGAUCUUCUAAUUAUGAACAAGGUGUUGUUGCUUGAUAACUGGAUCACGUCAUUAGGAGAAUCACGUGAUGGACUAGACCCAAACUAAUAGACGUAGCAUGUUGAUCGUGUCAUUUUGUUGCUACUGUUUUCUGCGUGUCAAGUAUUUGUUCCUAUGACCAUGAGAUCAUAUACCUCACUAACACCGGAGGAAUGCUUUGUGUGUAUCAAACGUCGCAACGUAACUGGGUGACUAUAAAGAUGCUCUACAGGUAUCUCUGAAGGUGUUGGUUGAGUUAGUAUGGAUCGAGACUGGGAUUUGUCACUCCGUGUGACGGAGAUGUAUCUCGGGGCCCACUCGGUAAUACAACAUCACACACAAGCCCUGCAAGCAAUGUGACUUUGUGUAAGUUGCGGGAUCUUGUAUUACGGAACGAGUAAAGAGACUUCCCGGUAAACGAGAUUGAAAUAGGUAUGCAGAUACUGACGAUCGAAUCUCGGGCAAGUAACAUACUGAAGGACAAAGGGAAUGACAUACGGGAUUAUAAGAAUUCUUGGCACUGAGGUUCAAACGAUAAGAUCUUCGUAGGAUAUGUGGGAUNNNNNNNNNNCGAGAGGUAUCUCGGGGCCCACUCGGUAAUACAACAUCACACACAAGCCUUGCAAGCAAUGUGACUUAGUGUAAGUUGCGGGAUCUUGUAUUACGGAACGAGUAAAGAGACUUCCCGGUAAACGAGAUUGAAAUAGGUAUGCGGAUACUGACGAUCGAAUCUCGGGCAAGUAACAUACCGAAGGACAAAGGGAAUGACAUACGGGAUUAUAUGAAUCCUUGGCACUGAGGUUCAAACGAUAAGAUCUUCGUAGGAUAUGUGGGAUCCAAUAUGGGCAUCCAGGUCCCGCUAUUGGAUAUUGACCGAGGAGUCACUCGGGUCAUCUCUGCAUAGUUCUCGAACCCGCACGGUCUGCACACUUAAGGUUCGACGUUGUUUUAUGCGUAUUUGAGUUAUAUGGUUGGUUACCGAAUGUUGUUCGGAGUCCCGGAAGAGAUCACGGACGUCACGAGGGUUUUCGGAAUGGUCCGGAAAUGAAUAUUGAUAUAUAGGAUGACCUCAUUUGAUUACCGGGAGGUUUUUGGAGUUACCGGGAAUUUACGGGGAAUGAAGAAUGGGUUACGGGUGUUCACCGAGGGGGGGGGGGNNNNNNNNNNAAUAUGAGAUCACGGACGUCACGAGGGUUUUCGGAAUGGUCCGGAAGCGAAGAUUGAUAUAUAGGAUGACCUCAUUUGAUUACCGGAAGGUUUUCGGAGUUACCGGGAAUGACGAAUGGGUUCCGGGUGUUCAUCGGGGGGGGGGGGGCAACCCACCCCGGGGANNNNNNNNNNGCGCACCAGCCCUUAGUGGGCUGGUGGGACAGCCCAAGAAGGCCCUAUGCGCCAUAGGAAGAAAAUCAAAGAGAAAAAAAGAGGAGGUGGGAAAAAGGGGAAGGACUCCUCCUUCCAAACCUAGUUGGAUACGGUUUGGAAGGGGAGGACUCCCCCCUUGGCUCGGCCGACCCCCUUGGGGCUCCUUGAUCCCCAAGGCAAGGCUCCCCCUCUCCCACCUAUAUAUACGGAGGUUUUAGGGCUGAUUUGAGACAACUUUGCCACGGCAGCCCGACCACAUAUCUCCACGGUUUUACCUCUAGAUCACGUUUCUGCGGAGCUCGGGCGGNNNNNNNNNNNNNNNNNNNNNNNNNNNNNNNNNNNNNNNNNNNNNNNNNNNNNNNNNNNNNNNNNNNNNNNNNNNNNNNNNNNNNNNNNNNNNNNNNNNNAGUAAUAAUUUUGGGUGGCAUGCUUUCAUUGUCAACGCAAUGACCAAGAGUUCUCAAUAUCUUCCAUGCUACUCAUGCUAUAGGCGGUUCCCAAACAGAAAAGUAAAGUUUUAACUCCCCCACCACCAAUCAAUCACACUCCACGGCUAGUCGAAUCCUCGGGUACCGUCCAUACUAACAUCAAUCCGGGGGGAGUCUUGUUUUACAGUUAAGUUUUCGAUUUAAGCAUGGAACUGGGCAUCCCAAAUACCGACCCCUUUCUCGUGAAGGACUGUGAAUAAACACAUGUCGAGGAUAACACUCCUAGCAUGGAAGAUACCAAUAGCCCUUUGUCACCUUAUGAGCGGUUCGGGCAUGCAAAACAGAUUUAUUUCUUGAAGGUUUAGAGAAUGGCACAUGCAAAUUUACUUGGAACGGCAGGUAGAUACCGCAAAUAGGUAGGUAUGGUGGACUCUCAUGGAAAAACUUUUGGGUUUAUGGAAGUGGAUGCACAAGCAGUAUUCCCGCUUAGUACAAGUGAAGGCUAGCAAAAAACUGGGAAGCGACCAACUAGAGAGCGACAACAGUCAUCAAGAUGCAAUGAGUUUGACUAACAUUGAAUGCAAGCAUGAACAGGAUAUAAAUCACCAUGAACACAAACAUCAUAGAGGCUAUGUUGAUUUUGUUUCAACUACAUGCAUGAACAUGCACCAAGUCAAGCCACUUGAAACAUUCAAAGGAGAAUACCAUCCUAUCAUACUACAUCAUAGUCAUCUCAAUAUCUAUGUUGGCAAUCAAGACAAACCAUUAUAAGCUCUCAGCUAAAUAAGCAUGGCAUCAGAAACUAUGAUCUCUAAGUUGUCAUUGCAAACAUGGUUCUCUCACAACAAAGCUAAAUCUGGGCCGACAAGCUAGUCAUAUUUACAAAAACAAAAUAGAUAGAGUUCAUACCAGCUUUUUAGUCUCAGUCACUUCAUCAUAUAUCAUCAUUGUUGCCUUUCAUUUGCACGAUCGAACGAUGAAAACGAUAAUAAGCGCAUUGGACUAAGCUGAAUCUGCAGGCAAACACUAAGGAGGAGACAAAAUAAUAUGGCUCUUUGAAAGCUAAACAGGUAAGCAUGCAAGAACCAAUAAACAUUGUAACCAAUAUCUUCUACCUUGACACAAAGAAAAAGAAAGCUAUUUACACGGGAAAGCUCCCAACAAGCAAAAGAAGAAAGAAAAAUCUUUUUGGGUUUUCUCAAAAGGACACAAAACAAGAAAACAAAAAGAAACUAGCAUGGAUAAUACAGCGGCAAAGUGUAAACACCGGCUAACAAAGUGAAAGCAUAAGCAUGAAUGUAAAGUCGGUGAGAAGACGUACUCCCCCAAGCUUAGGCUUUUGGCCUAGCUUGGUCUACUCCCAUGGUGGGAAAUAACCAGCUCCAGGAUACUCUGGAGCAGACUGUGGAUGCCACUGUUGUGCGAGCUCCUCUGGCUCCCACUGAUAGACUGGCGUCUGGUACUCGACUGGCGGCUCGGGCACGGCCGCCUAUGGUUGGGCCAAGCCCCAAUAUGCGUAGAUGUCUGCGGGCAUAAUAGUGUACCUGCCUGCAUGAAGAUCAAACAAAGAAGGAGCAGGCAAAGUAGUAGUCUCUCGAGUACCCUGACUAAACACCAGGUUAUAAAUCAUCCGUCUACUAGCAUCUCUAUCUAGAAAAUCAUGGCGAACCAUGCUAUCAUAAUCCAGAUAUCUCUCAGGGAGGAGCAUCUCUCCUUCCUCUCCCAGUCUAAUGGGUAUCUCAAAGUGUCUGGCCAGACGGGUUGCAUAGAUACCUCCAUAGACAACAUCCUUAGAAUGGUUCAGGUUCAACCAUUGAGCUACUAUAGCGCCAAAGCUAUAAGUCUUAUCGUAAUAAAGGCCUUCGCGCAAAACCACAAGGUCUAGAGAACUAAGUGAUCCAGCCUCCCCACGGCCAAUCAAACAUUUUCCCGCAAAUAGUGAGAAGUACCGAAGCACAGGAAAAUGUAUGCUAGCAAUUCUAGCACGAGACACUCCUCUCUCCUCUCCUACAGCAAUAGAACUAAUGAAAUCCUCCAAGUCCCGUGGACGAGGGUCACGGAUAUCCCCAACAUAAGGUAAUUUGCAUACAUUGCAAAAGUCCUGCAGCGUCAUGCACUGGGGAACAUCGUAUAUCAUGAACUCAACCAUGGGAGGAUUCUUCCUUGGAUAAAAGUUGAAGCUUUGAACGAAAAUAUUGGUGAGGAGGAGAUAUUGUGGGCACUUAUCUUCAACGAAUGCAGUAAGACCUGCGUUCUCCAUCAAGUAAUAAAAGUCUUCAUAAAGUCCGGCGGCGCGCAAAAAUUCAUCACUUGGCCAUUCGCACGCUCGAACUUCUGUGACUCGAGGGACUGCGUACUUGGGGUGAUUCUUCUCGUCCUCCUUGGGGUUACGGCUUGAAGAGCCUCUCAAGAACCUCCUCAUCUCUUCCUUUUUCUAGCUCUGAUUUUUUUUGAAAUUUUUAGAGACUUCGAAAGAAAAGUGAACAAGGAUCAACCCAACUUGUAGCAACUACUCCUACUUAGUGCCUAGAGACCGUAUCACGCGCUAAAACUACUUGGGACCGGCUAAAAUCAACUUUUCUAGCUCAAGAACAGGGUCACCAAGGUAGCAAGAAUUCGCGAAGGAUAAAACACUAGAGCAAAAACUAAUUGGACCAAUGGAGGAGUCACUUACCAAGGAGUAAUUUCCCCAAAACAGUUCGGAGAAUGGUGCUUUGAGCAAGGAGAUCGAAAAUCACAGCCAAAUGAGCAAGAACACAGGUUUGAGCUGCAAAAUAAUUUUUUCUGGAGGUGGAAGAAGAGGCUGAGAGCUGGAGUGAGUGGAGGGGGUGCCUGUGGGCCCCACAAGCUUGCACCCCGCCACCAGGGGGGUAGGUGGCGGUGGGGGGCUUGUGGCCUACUGGUCAGCCCCCUUGACCAGCUCUCAGGCCCAAAAAUUUUCAAAAAUUCCAGAAAAAAUCAUACUAAAUUUUCAGGACCAUCGGAGAACUUUUAUUUUCGAGGUAUUUUUCUCUGGGACGCUAAAACAGAAACAGGAAAAGCUAAACUAAUUCCAUCAUUUUUCUUCUAAGAAACAGAAAAGGAAAACUCAAAACAGAGGUAUGUGACUCUUCGAUUCAUCCGUCUCAUGGUCAUCGAAAGAAAUCCGUCAAUGGGAUUGAUCAAGUCCUUAUGGCAAAACCUUCUUGAAUUGCAAGAGAGAACAGAGAAUUUUCGAAUAGCCACUAAGUCACCUCAAUGGGGAUAUGGAUCUCCCCGACAAGCAAAUCAUACUUCAUAUUGACACGAGGAAUAGGGCAUUCAAAGCUCCCAAUGAGAAUCGAUGAAGUCUUUUCAAUAGCAUUGAUGCAAUGUACUGGAUAUCGUUUCUUCGGGAAGUGCACGGUGUGCUCAUUACCGUUGACAUGGAAAGUGACAUUGCCUUUGUUGCAAUCUAUAACAACCCCUGCAGUGUUUAAAAAGGGUCUUCCGAGGAUGAUAGCCAUGGCAUCGUCCUCGGGAAUAUCCAAGAUAACAAAGUCUGUUAAGAUAGUGGUAUUAGCAACCAUAACAGGCACAUCCUCGCAAACGCCGAUAGGGAAAGCAGUUGAUUUGUCGGCCAUUUGCAGAGAAAUUUCAGUGGGUGUCAACUUAUCCAACUCAAGUCUACUAUAAAGAGAGAGCGGCAUAACACUAACACCGGCUCCAAGGUCACAUAAGGCAGUUCUUAUGUAGUUUCCUUUAAUGGAGCAAGGUAUAGUGGCCACUCUGGGAUCACCAAGUUUCUUAGGAGUUCCACCUUUAAAAGUGUAGUUGGCAAGCAUGGUGGAGAUCUCAAGAUCUGGUAUCUUCCAUUUAUUAGUCACGAUAUCUUUCAUGUACUUGGCAUACGGAGACAUCUUGAGCAUAUCAGUUGACCGCAUCUGCAGAAAGACGGGUCUUAUCAUCUCAACGAAGCGCUCAAAAUCCUCAUCAUCCUUUUUCUUGGAUGGCUUAGGAGGAAAGGGCAUAGGUCUCUGAACCCAUGGCUCUCUUUCUUUACCAUGCUUCCUAGCAGUAAAGUCAUUCUUGUCGUAUCUCUUAGGUUGUGGAUUAUCAGGAUUAACCGUAGGUUCAAUCUCCACAUCCUCAUCAUUGCUAGGUUGAGCAUUAUUAUGAACAUCACUAUCCACAUUGUCACCAAGUUCAUGUUCAUCACCAGAUUGUGUUUCUACAUCAGACGCAGAAAUAUCAUUAGGUUCUUCAGGUGUGAUAGUAUUUGGUGAACUGGCGUGUAGGUUUCUAUCAUCCUUCUUCUUCUCGUUAGGAUGACUAGGUGUAUCAGCAUUGAUUCCUUGAGAAUAUUGAUCAAUUCUCUUAGGAUGACCUUCAGGAUACAAAGGUUCCUGAGUCAUUUUGCCUCCUCUAGUAAUGACUCUGACAGAGUUGUCAUUUAAUUCAUUGAGCAGGUCAUUCUGAGCUUUAAGUACUUGUUCUACCUGAGUAGUAAUCAUAGAGGCAUGUUUACUCAGAAGCUUCAGAGCAUUACAUUUCUGUCUACACAAGCACUUAAAUGGCUAAGCAUACGAGUACUUUGUUCCAAAUGUGUGCUAACAUAAUCAUUGAAACUCUGUUGUUUGGCAACAAAGUUGUCAAAUUCAUCAAAGCAUAGGCUAGCAGGUUUAUCAAAAGGAAUAUCACUCUCGUCAAACCUACGCAGAGAAUUAACUUCUACUACCUGUAUCAGGUUAUCGAGACCGUGGAUCUCUUCGAUAGGUGGUAGAUUUUUUACAUCUUCAGAUCUAAUGCCUUUCUCUUGCAUAGAUUUCUUAGCUUCUUGCAUAUCUUCGCGACUUAGGAAUAGAAUACCUCUUUUCUUAGGAGUUGUCUUAGGAGGUGGUUCGGGAAUAGUCCAAGCAUUAUCGUUGAUCAAGAGGUUAUUCGGUAGGGUCUCAGCUUGUUCUAUAGUUCGUUCCCUAAAAACACAACCGGCACAACUAUCUAGGUAGUCUCUAGAGGCAUCGGUAAGUUCGUUAUAGAGGAUAUCAAGUAUCUCGUUCUUCUUAAGAGGGUGAUCAGGCAAAGCAUUUUGUAGCUGGACGAGCCUCCCCCAAGCUUGUGGAAGACUCUCUUCUUGGAGUUGAGCAAAGUUGUAUAUUUCCUGCAAGGCAACUUGCUUCUUAUGGGCACGGAAAUAUUUCUCACAGAAGUAAUAGACCAUCUCCUGGGGACUACGCACACAUCCAGUAGCAAGAGAGGUGAACCAGGCUUUAGCAUCAUCCUUUAGAGAGAAAGGAAACAACUUAAGGAUAUAGUAGUGGCGGAUCUUCUCCUCAUUAGUGAAAAGGUUGGCUAUUUCGGAUAGUUUGGCAAGAUGGGCUAUGACCGUCUCAGACUCAUAACCGUGAAAAGGAUCAGAUUUGACUAGAGAGAUUAUCUCAGGGUUGACAGAGAAUUCAUAAUCCUUAUCAGUGACAAAGAUAGGCGAAGUAGCAAACUUUGGAUCAUUUUCAUCCUAACUUCCUGAGAUUUUUCCUUCCACUUGAGAAUUAAUUUCUCAGCGUCAUAGGCAUCCUUACACGCAAGAAAAUCCUCAGCUAUCUCUCCCUUCAUAACGUAACCCUCAGGUAUAUCAGGCAAUUCAUAUCUAGGAGAGCUAGAUCUAGCAGGAGCAAAAGCAGGUUCUAUCUCAAUAGUAUUGGCAGUUUCAGCAGCAUCACGAGCAUUGGGAGUAACUCUAGCAAUAUGAGCAUCAAGGAACACUCCUAGUGGAACAUCAGGCAAAGGAGUAUCUCUAGCAGUAUCAAGCAUAGCAUCAUCAGGCAAAAUAGCAUCUCUAGCAUCAUCAGGCAAAGCAGUAUCAAGCAUAGCAUCUCUAGCAGUAUCAAGCAUAGCAUCAUCAGGCAUAGUAUCAAGCAUUGCAUCUCUAGCAGUAGUAUCAAGCAUAGCAUCAUCAGGCAUAGUAUCAAGCAUAGCAUCUCUAGCAGUAGUAUCAAAAGCAUCAUCAAGCACAGGCGACAUAUCAAGAUUUCUAGGAGGAGGUGAAGUCGCAAACUUACUCAUAACUGAAGGUGAAUCAAGUGCAGAGCUAGAUGGCAAUUCCUUACCUCCCCUCGUAGUUGAGGGCAAGACUUUGGUCUUCAGAUCCUUCAGAUUCUUCAUAGUGAUCAGCAGAUAUAAAUCCCAAGUGACUCAGAGAAUAUAGCAAUACCUCCCCGGCAACGGCGCCAGAAAAAUGCUGACGUCAGCUGUGCUUCCGUGGCAAUAGCUCCAGAAAAGGGCUGAUCCUGCAAUCUCUGGCGUUAGCUAGACGAAUGCUUAUAACAACUAACCUUCUCCUGCAACAGCACCAGAAGAAUGCUGAUAGCACUCCCCGGCAAUGAAACUGGAAGAAUGUUGUUGAUGGCCCAUCAGCGCGUGGGUUCGCAGCAGUUUUCGAGGGUAGAGUAUUCGACCCAAUUUGUUGGUUUGCACGUCAGGAGGUGAGAGUAUACUCUCAAGUAUUAGCAGCUGAAUUUGUCGGAUUCAACCACACCUAAAAGAUUAGUAUGUGCAAGCACAAUAGUCACAGCAAAGUAGUAUGAUAACAAUGGUGUUAGAAACGAUCUAUUGACGGCAGACUAUUCCUAACGAUUGUAUCAAUGGCGCCUUCGUUGCCGCGUCGACGGAAGUUGUCAGUUCCCGUCAACGGCCGGUGAAUCAACAGUGUAGCAGGUAGUAGCAGUGUAAAGAGCAAUAGCAGUGGCAAGGAACAAUAGUAGUGACAGCAGUAGCAAGUAGCAACAGUAGCAAGCGACAGUAGUAGCAACAGUAGCAGCAGAGCAAAACAAGUAACAGCAGUAGCAAUAGUAGUAGCAGCAGCAGCAGAGCAAGACAAGUAAUAAGAGUAGCAACAGUAGUAGCAGCAGCAGCAGAGCAAGACAAGUAACAACAGUAGCAACACUAGGACAAACUCGUAGGCAAUUGGUCGAUGAUUUGUUUGGAUGAUAUUCAUCAAGCAACAGCUAUAACACGGAGAAAUAUGUGGCUAGCUCCCGUUCGUCAAUGUGAUGUAGGCAUGCAUUCCGUGUGUCGUCAUACGUGCUUAGGGAAAAGAACUUGCAUGACAUCUAUUGUCCAUCCCUCCCGUGGCAGCGAGGUCCAAAAGGAAACUACGGGAUAUUAAGGUUCUCAUUUUAAUAAAGAACCGGACCAACGCAUUAGCACUUGGUGAACACAUGAACUCCUCAAACUAUGAUCAUCAUUGGGAGUGGUUCCGGUUAUUUUCACUCCGGGGUUGCCGGAUAAAACACAUAGUAGGUAACUACAACUUGCAAGAUCGGAUCUAAAACACACAUAUAUUGGUGACAACAUAAUAAUUUUAGAUCUGAAAUCAUGGCACUCGGGCCCUAGUGACAAGCAUUAAGCAUGGCAAAGUAGUAGCAACAUCAAAUCUCAGAACAUAGUGCAUACUAGGGAUCAAUCCCCAUCAAAACUAACUCGAUUACAUGAUAGAUAUUAUCCUACUCAUCACCGCCCAGCGAGCCUACCAAUAGAUUACUCACGAACGACGAAGAGCUUGAUGGAAUUGGAGAGGGAAGAAGGUUGAUGAUGACGAUGGCGACGAUUUCCCUUCUUCGGAGCCCAAGACGGACUCCAGAUCUGCCCUCCAGAUGAAGAACAAGGGGUGGUGGCGCCUCCGUAUCGAAAACGCGACGAAAACUUCUCUUUUUAUUUUUUCUCGGACGAAAGACAACUUAUAGAGUUGGAGUUGGGGGCGGCAGGUGCCUGUGGGCCCCACAAGCCUGCCCACCGCCACCAGGGGGGUGAUGGCGGAGCAGGGGCUUGUGACCCACUGGCCCACCCCCUGAGGUGGAACUUGGCGCAGGUAUUUUUGAUAUUUUCCAAAACUGCUCCCCGUAAAUUUUCAGGACGUUUGGAGAACUUUGAUUUCUGCACAAAAAUAACACCAAGGCAAUUCUGCUGAAAACAGCGUCAGUCCAGGUUAGUUCCAUUCAAAUCAUGCAAAUUAUAGUCCAAAACAAGGGCAAAAGAGUUUGGAAAACUAGAUACGUUGGAGACGUAUCAGCGACGCUAGGAGGAGUCCUUCUCCUAUUUGAACUCCUCUCGACCUCCUCACUUUGGGCGCAUAAGCCCAUAGGGGCUGGCCGGUCAGCCCACCAGGGGCUGGUGUGCCACCUCUUAGGCCUAUGUGCCCCCCCGGGGUGGGUGGCCCAUCCUAGUGAACCCCUAGAACACAUUCUUCACUCCCGGUACUUUAUUGAUAGUGCCCAAAACUUUUUCAGAACCCGGAUACCUCUUUCCUAUACAUCAAUCUUCGUCUCCAAACCAUUUAGGAACACCUCGUGACGUCCAAGAUAUCAUCUGGGACUCCGAACAACCUUCGGUCACCAACAUACAUAACUCAACUAUACCGAAACGUCAUCAAAGCUUAAGUGUGCAGACCUUGCGGGUUCGAGAACUAUGUAGACAUGGCCUGAGACACUCUCCGGUCACUAACCAAUAGCGGGACCUGGAUUCCCAUAGUGGCUCCUACAUAUUCUAAAAAGAUCUUUAUCGGCUGAACCUCUAUGUCAAGUAUUUAGUCUAUCCUGUAUACUAUUCCCUUUGUCCAUCGGUAUGUUACUUGCUUGAGAUUCGAUCAUCGGUAUACCUCCAUACCUAGCUCAAUCUCACUAUCGACAAGUCUCUUUACUCGUUCCGUAAGACAAAAUCCCGUGACUAAGUUUUUAGUCACAUUGCUUGCAAGGCUUGUUAUGAUGUUGUAUUACCGAGUGGGCCCUAGAGAUACCUCUCCGCCUCCGUCAUACGGAGUGACAAAUCGCAGUCUUGAUCCAUGCUAACCCAACAGACACCUUCGGAGAUACCUGUAGAGCACCUUUAUAGUCACCAAUUUAUGUUGUGACAUUUGAUACACACAAGGUAUUCCUCCGGUGUUUGGGAGUUGCAUGAUCUCAUGGUCAUAGGAAUAGAUACUUUGACAUGCAGAAAACAGUUGCAAUAAACUAACACGAUCUUAUUCUACAUUCAUAGUUUGGGUCUUGUCCAUCGCAUCAUUCUCCUAAUGAUGUGAUCCCGUUAUCAAAUGACAUCUCAUGUCUAUGGCCAGGAAACCUUGACCAUCUUUGAUCAAUGAGCUAGUCCUUCACAGGCUCACUAGGGACAGCGUGUUGUCUAUGUAUCCACACAUGUAUUUGAGUUUCCAAUCAAUACAAUUCUAGCAUGGAUAAUAAACGAUUAUCAUGAACAAGGAAUAUAAUAAUAAUUAAUUUAUUAUUGCCUCUAGGGCAUAUUUCCAAUAGUCUCUGACUUGCACUAGAGUCAAUAAUCUAGUUCACAUCACUAUGUGAUUCACACCCAAUAAGUUUUGGGGUUUAAUCAUGUUCGCUUGUGAGAGAUGUUUUAGUCAAUGGGUGUGAACUUUUCAGACCCGGGUGUGCUUUACACACUACAAGAAAUAUGCUCAUACAUGAUGUUUUUUAAAAUGUCGUUGAUGAAUUCGUCAUAAAUCUAUGACGAUUUCAUCCGAGAUUGUCGUAAGCCAUUUGAGGGGAUCACAUCUACAUAUAAAUUACGACGAUGUGAGUCAAAAACGUCAUAACCGCAUAAGAUGAGAUCGUCAUAACUUUUACGAGGAUUAUAAAAACAUUGUAACAUGUUCUAACUAUGUUGACAUGUCACUCGUGGGUCCAUUCUAUCCCACCUCAUCCUAGUUUGUGAAAAUAUCCCAAAUCACAUUGUUUUCAUACAAAUUCUGUUUUCACACAAUCUGUUUUCGCACAAAUUAUAAGAAAAUGAAAAUAUCCCAAAUCACAUUGUUUGUCAUCCCAAAGUAGACACAUAUGCAUAAUAUUGAUUAAUUUUGAAAAAAUGUAUGUUUACCCCGAAUAAUAGGAUGAAAAUAUAACAGAAACAAAAGGAAAAGAGAAAAUUACACAAGCUUAAAUCUGAUUGGUGGAAUGAGUUUUGACAUGGAUCGCUGACGUGGCAAACAUCCGACCAUCCAUCCACCCGUACAUCCAUCCACCUGCAGCAAACCUCACCCAACCCAUCGUGCCCUCCUCUUCCUCUCUCUGCGCUAACCCUAGCCGACGCCUCCCUCUCUCCCCCGAUCCUACCCGAUACGGAUCGUCCAACCCUAGCCGCCGUCGUGAUCUGACCCAGGGUAGCCGCGAUGGCGACGCGGACAGGAGUCUCGCCCCGUAGAGUGACCGCUUUGUCUGUGUGGAGGCCGUCGCCCAGGAGGGCAACGACGCCGGUGGCAUGGUGGCCACUGCGGAGGGAGUGUUGCGGGCCAGCCUCGACACCGACGAGCUCAUGGCGCUCAUGCACGGCUCAGAGCACGCCGAGUGGAGGAGGGGGAGGGGAGGGGUGGGGGAUUUGGUUUGUGAUUUUUGGAUUUUCGGUCCGAGCGGCGAUGGGGUUGCUGUCGCGGCCGGAGGAGGUGGCGGCGCUGGUCAGGCUCAAGGUGGCGGCGGGGCCGAUCAGGCGCCAGAUCCCGCGUGAGAUGCACUGGGCCUUCGCCUACGAGAUGCUCAAGCGGGUCUCCUGCAGCUUCGCGCUCGGACCCGAGCUCCGCAAUGCCGUAAGCGCUCCUUCUCCUCCCUUUCCCCCCUUCAACCCGAGAUCCCCUCCGAUCCCUGGAAUCCCUGAGGCACUCACGGCCGCUGAUUUUGACCCUUCCUACAGGUGUGCGUCUUCUACCUCGUGCAAGGUCUGGUUCUAAUUCCGCCAUGGAUUCAAUUCCUUGGUGCUCGUUUGGGGAUCCGAUCCGGUCUGGUCUCUUAUCUCCUCUCCUCUCGCUUGGAUUCGAUUCGAUUGACCACCAUUACUAUGUAUGUAGAUCUUGCUAGAGAUUUUCGCAUCUACUGAUGCUAGUUAGAUUCGUAGCUGUAUUGCACAUACUACUACUACUAUCGAUUGAUCGAUUACACGUUCCUUUGGUUCUUUGUUAGCGCUACGAGUACUACUCCUACCAUAUACCAGUGUUGAUAUAUUGAGAUUGAUUCUGGUAGUGUUGGGUAGCCAGUAGAACUUUUAUGAUGUAAGUUAAAAGGGUACUGUGUGACUAGACUGAAGAAAUUGUGUUGACAAAUUCUCCUGCACCACCUUAUUUUUCACUAGACUGAAGAAACUUGACUGCAGAUGCACCAGUUGCUCAUUUUUAAAUACUCCUAGUGUUAAAAUGGUCAUGUUGUAUAAAAUUCAUCUGGAUAUGUGUUGAAAAUUCAGUUAAAUUGUCUUCACAGAAACUUUACUGAAAAAUUCAGUUAAGUUCAAUCACCAUUCUGAAUUUUGACCACAUGAGUACAUGACCAAGCUUAAGAGUUUAAAACAUUAUCCAAAUAAUCAUGUCCCACAUUAUUGCCAGGGCAAGAGUAGUAGCACUAGCAGGAUUUUGCAAACUAAAUGAAAAAGGAAGUCAUUCUUUGCUUCUACUGCCUGAACAAAGUCCUGUCGGCUGCACCAUGGCUCUUCUAUACUCCUGAAGUAUCAUUUAGUAAACAAGGAUAAAAAUGAUGGGGACUUUGCACCUUUGAGAAAACUGUAGGUGGUUUACCCACUGCAAGCAUGUUAAGGAAGCAAAAUGUUCACAAAGAGUUUCCAGUAGAGUGGCAAUUUUUGAAUGGCACUUCAGCUGUGGAAUUCAGAGCAAGACUUCCUGUUUUGCUAUGGAGUUUAGACGUUCAGCUUAUCAUUCAAGACUUAUAUGCAUGCGUUUCGAGCUGUAGAAUUCAAAGCAAGACUUCAUGUUUUGCUGAAAUUUAACAUGUAAGAAUCUUUGCACUAAUUAAUGGGAAGUAGAGGUAGAAUCAUCUUUGCGCUAAUUAAUUAACGAAUCUUGCUACUUUUUGUCUUGCCAUGGCUGCAAUUAAGCAUAUGUGUGUUUGUUUUGAGAAGGCGGCAUCAUAUAUUCGUACGUAGCUAGUCUUGGUAAAUCAGCAGCAUUUCGGACAGGCAUUGCGUUCUUCAUAUUGUGAUAUGACAACGAGAUCUGUGGGUGUCCAAGAUAAUGCUUGGUAAUUGAACUAGUCAUAAUUGACAAUUACAAACUAGAUAAACUAGGAUUUAGGAGGUAUUAUAAAGAGAUAAACUAGGAUUUUGAUAACAUUCAGCUACUGUGUAUGUUGUACUGUGCUUGAGAUUAUUUAUAAUCAAGUGUAAAAUAAGCUAGUCGCUAGUGUAAAAGGGCUUUGCUACUUUAAUGCAAAAACAUUGUACUGAUUAAUGCAUGUACGCUAAGGAUCCUAUGGCCGGAUGUGCGGUUUCAGUGCUUUGUCGUGCCGUGCAAUUGCCUUACAAUGCGUGUUGUUUAUUAUGUGACGACUACUGAAGUGCUAAAUACACAUGCAGCAUGCGGCGGAGGUGGUUCAAGACAAGUUGUAUGUGGUCUAGGGAAGCUAGAAUGGGUGUUUUCUGUCGGAUGUUCAGGUUUGCCACUCAUGCAUGUUAACCCAUCAUGCUCCCUGCUUCUUCAUUACCUAAAGCACAUCCUAACAGCUGCAAUUGUGGCAGGUUUUUUUAUUUCAGGACAUCCAAGUGGUCAGCGUUACUGUUGAGUCCUAGUCGACAGUGCCCUGUGCCAACCAUCCGCGAAGGCUUCUUCAUUACCUGAAGCACAUCCUAACAGCGCCCUGUGCCAACCAUCCGCGAAGGCGUCAACUUCCACCUGCCCAACGUCGUCGCCGCCGCGCCCCCCAUCACCGGUGAGACCUUCAAUUGACCAUGUCCCCCAAUCCCAUCUACCCUCAGGGAUACCGACCUCAUACGUACGGAUUGCUCGUAGGAUAUUUCUGUCACCGAUAUCGAUCCAGUGGUUGAAACUUGAAAUUGACUCAUUAACCAGCAAACAAAUCUCCACGAAUAGAGCAGAGCACCACAACUGACAGUGACAAUGCCACGAGAUUGUGUUUCUAGUAGAUAGGGGAGUGAGUGGGACACGAUCGAGCUGCACCCAUGGAUGGAUCCAUCACCACCACACACACACACACACACAGAGUAAAUCUAAUGCAAAUGGAUGUUGUUUUCAACAACAUCUACAUCAGCAGCAGACGAGUUUGAUAAUGCACUCUUGCCCAUCCUAGCUUGAGAAUUUUUUACCUCUUCAAAUCGGACUUGGGCAGCAGGCAGACGUGCUGGAUUUCUGGGCAGUUCUUGUCCCUACCUAACAUGCUAGAAUUGAAAUGACAGUAGAUGAUAGUUGAAUUUGCAGCGCACUUGUGCUAAACUAAUUAAUGCAUUCCUUACUAUCUUGGGUUCAGAAGUUUUACCUAUUGAGAGUUCAGAGUGUCAACAUCAACAGUAGAUGAGUUUGACAGUGAGGUUUCAGUUCACAGCACACUUGUGUUGCUUGCCAUCUCGGCUUCAGAAAAAUGAACCUGAUUGUGCAAAUUUAAAAAUGCAGGAGUUAAGCACGUUGGUGGAGACAUGUUCAAGUCCAUCCCCUCCGGCAACGCCAUCUUCAUGAAGGUGCGUAUCUCAUGGCCGUAUCAAUGCUACUUUCCAUCAGCGAGUUUAUACUGCGUCAAUCCGGAUACUGAGGAAUUGUUGCCUUAUUUGAUUACUUUAUGUUGAAACUCAUUCAUCCUUGUGCUUAGUAGGGAGAUGUUUAUAUUUUCUGAAGAAAUGGCAAAGUGUAACAUUUGCUUUAUGGUAGAUGUUUUUUGAGUUUUGUAAUUUUAUCUGCAGAAAUUGUUGACUGUCCUAUAUGGUUCUACACAUUAACAUAGUUAUUGACUGCACAUGGCAACCCCACAUGUCACUUCAUGAACUAGAGGACUGGUAAAUGUAGCCAACUUUGCUGAUGUAUAACCAUCUGGGAGCUGUGAUAUUUUCUAGUGGGGUGGUGCUGGAUGCAGUGGUGUUCCUCACUUAGCAUAGUAAAACUUUAAUUAUAAUAGUGAUAAGAGUCAUGAACUAAUGAUAGUAUCUGCUUAACUUUUCCCUUGAAACACAUGACUUAAGUUUCUCAUGUUUUGAUGUGACAGUUUUGAAUAAUCUUUUCUGAGUACAAAACAAUUAGCAGUGAUUUUGGUAUGGGUUGGUUUUCUUCAGUUCUGAACUCCUGGGUUUAGCGAGUAAGAAUUCAAGCCAAAUAAGAUGAUAUACUACCAAGAAAUAAUAAUCAGUCCAUGACAUGUUAAAUGUAUGUAACUAGCUAAGAUCCCAAAAGAGUGGGGAAUGGCAAGAGGAACUGCAUAUCCUCUGUUUCUCAAACGGGGGAAUAUGUUACUGUAUUCACAUGUUUCUACUAAGUCAUGUGUAUCCCAUGCCAUUGUCUUGUCGUUAGAAAUCCUGAAUUUGGGUCUUUCUUUUACCUAAAAUCCUUGCUGCAGAGGUUGCUGUUCGACAAACCUACUUCAUCUAGCUAAUUGUAAUUGUUAACGAAAGAUACUUACUGUUCUUCUGCAGGAGAAUGGCCAGGAGUCUGAACCAAUGAAUGACCAUGAGGGGAGACAUUACACAUGCUACCUACCAGUCGAAGAAACCAAGACCAUGAAGUCGAUUGUCCCACAGAAUGCAAUCAAUGUUAUCAUAGAAAGCGAACGGAAAGUUUACAGUCUGCUAUGCUUGACUACAGACAUACAUUUAAGUUCACUAUACUGAAGUUCAUAUGGCUUAGGUGUAGUAGUGCAGUAAGUCCUUAAUUCGGCAUUACACGUGUUCUAGGAAAAAUUAUAAAACCAACACAUAACUCUUGAAACAAAAAUGAUGGACCAAAUCUGAUUUAUCUUUUCUGAUUUGGUUAUGAAACUGUAGACAACAGUUGGUGUAUGUUUUCAUGUGCUUUCUUGUGCAUAUCAGCAUAUGUUUUCUGGCCCUAGAACAAACAAGCAUAUGAUGAUUUAAUUAUUUGACUGAAUCUGGACCGUAUAAUAAGGUCCAAGUAGUGUAUGCUUAAGAGAAAUUUUGGAGUGCUUACUGCCAGGUAUUUGUUUAAAAAAUCAUCCGUCAACAUCUAAACUCAAUAGACUUAGUUUUGCAUUUUACAAAAUGUCAAAAAUAUAGAAACCAAUUGAUGAUUUUGCAGACCUGACGAGGUGGAGAAUAAGGACCACCGGCUGUUCGGCUCCAUGGUCCAAUACACCAUGGACCUCCAACCCCACAUUAGCUGCACCCCCUCACCUCGAGAGCGACAAGGUCUUUCUUCUCCUCCCCGGAAUAUGCAUCUCUCUCUUUUGCUGAUGACAGAUCCCAUAUUCUAGUAAGUGUUGUACAAAUUCAUGAUUUUUUCAGUGAUUCGAAUGAGUAGAAUAAUUGAGGAAACCUCAUGGUGUUGGUGUAUACAAAUCCAUCCAUUAGAUGAGAGUAAAGCCAAUCUGAAGAGCUUGAUUCAGUUAGUUAUGGGAUGAGCUUCUUGUCUGAUUACGAGCAUCCUUUUUGUUCUGUUGUACAGUAGUAUGUUUUCUAUACUACUAUAUAGCGUAUCACUAUAUAGCGUAUCAGUUUGAAUCAGGCAUUGAAAUACUAUCCGGCCAUUCACUGGCUUCCAUCCAGCGGCCUACAGUGCUUGGAUUCACAGCUACAGUGGCUUAGGGUGCCAUCUGGGUCAUUCCAAAGGCAGCCAUGAAUUGUCAUAGAGUCAAUACUAUUUGGUUCAUUCUACAUGUAGUAGAUACUAUGUUAUUCUCAUUUUUGGGAACUAUAAUUUAAGAAUUUUGGGUGUGGGUUCCUCUUGUCCCGUGUGACAAUCACAUAACUAACUGAACGCAUUAGCAAAACUGCAGAAGAAGAGCGACCCUUCUACUUGGAAAAUAUAUAAGCUUUAGUAAACCAACAACUGAAUUACCACCAGGUUCUUGAACCUGGCAGCUCAUCUACUGACCUUUCAUGCUUUUCCCAGAAAUGCAAUCCAUAAACCUGCUACUUGAAAAAAGAACUAGUAUAUUAUGCACUCAUAAUUCUUAAUGUUUUGCUCCUCGUGGCAUUGUAACACAUUGACAAUGCCACAUUGAUCAUGGUUACUGCUACUGUAUUUUACUGCUAUUUUCAGUUAACUGCUUAUUUUCGGAAAAGUUCCUAAGAGUGUGCUUUUGAAUUGCAUUUGUAGGAGAAGGGCCAUGCCUAUGCGACUGCCUCGGGCUGGGGCUGGUGCACCUUGGGCUGGGGCUAGUGAUGUGCUGGAUCAGCACCGUCGGGGCUGGGGCUGGGUUGGAUCAGCUCCGCCUGGGAGAAGUUGCAGCAGUGCCUGAGCGACAAGAAGAAGGCUUGGGUGCUGAUGUGCCAUUCUAUUGUGCAGAUGUGCCAUUGUUGUAUUAUGUAAUUCCAUUUGUUCUUGCUAUAUUCCUGUGUAAGGAAAUGUAUUCAAGAGAUGACUUAUUGUGUUAUGUAAACCUGGGAGAUGUAUUAUGUGAUGUUAUAUGAUGGAUGCUUUUAAUUUGACUUGGAUUUUCUUGAUUUGAAUAUGAAAUAUUGUUCGAUUUAAUAGUGGACAAAUAAUUGGGCUGAAAAGUCCCAACAAAUAAAAUGAAACCAAAAAAAGGCCAAAACUGAACUGGACCAAAUGUAUUCGGGCACUAAAAGGCCAGGGCCUAAAUUAUAAUGACAAAAAAUCAAAUUUUUUUACUAAAGUGGGUGUAAAUAGGCUAAGGCCCAAUAAGAAAAAGCCCCAAAAAAUAAAACUAGCCCAUGUGAUCCAUUGAAAUGGGUUGGGCUGAUUUCAACCAUGACGUUUUGAUUUCAUCGGAAUUUUGCCACGUAGGACUGCCACGUAGGACUGGGUUUGAUUGCCAACGACGAUUUAGGAUCGUCGUAAAGGUUACGACGAUCCAGGAAUCAUCGUAAAAGUUACGACGAUUUUGAUCAAAACGUCGCUGAUGUUCAUUUGUGAUGCUCCGUUUUCGACGCUUGGUUUUUCGUCGUGAGAUCGUCGUAAAUUAAAAACCGUGACGAUGUAGCAACGAAAAAACAGCGUCGUGUAUUAGCAUAUUCCUUGUAGUGGUGGCCGACAUCCUGGCGGGGGCCGGCCGGGCGUGCCGCGCGUGGCGCCGGCUCGCCGACGGCGACGCCGCGCUGUGGCGCCACCUCGACAUGACCCACCACGGCGACAUCCUCGAGAACGAGGAGACCGAGGCCAUGGCCCGUGCCACCGUCAACCGCUCCGCCGGCACCCUCUAGUCCUUCUGCGCCGACACCUUCGUCACCGACGCCCUCCUCGCCUACAUCUCCGCCAGGUCCCUCCCCUCUUCUACACGCCCCUUCCUCCCCUGCCAUGGUGGGAUUUUUCUUUCUCUCCCCCCGAAUUUGUUGUCGUUGCUGCUAAAUUAAAAUGCAUACAACAACUUUUUUAACCGAUGGCAAGUCCGUAUUCUUUAAUUUGUAGUAUUCUCUAGUCGAUGUCCGAUUCGAUGUACCUUGCUUAACUCUGUUUACUCCGUUGCUUGGGACAUAGUAAUGUGUGUGGAGCAACCCAUGAAAAUGUGUAUGGAGUAGCACACUGAAGGUUUGAUUGUUUGUUUUCCUGGAGGGAACUGGGUUGUUCCCACUAAUCUCAGCUAAGAUCGAGAUUUGUGAGACUAGUUAGAAUGGGGGUAUCGAUGGAUAUAAUAUAGGGACCGACCGAUCCCUAAAAUGUACUACAAGGAUAAGUGAGUCUCAUCAUGGAGACUUUACAGGGGUAAAGGCCAUCUGAACUUUGUUGUUGGUUUCCAGCAGAUUAAUUGAUGUAAAGGUGGGUAGAAAACCAAAUAAUCACUUCGACGGUUGAGUACCAUUUUUUCUGAUAAAGACGUAGGUUGGCUCUGUCCUGAAGAGUGACUUCUAUGUGUGUUAUUUUCUACCGGUGUUCCUCUCCUGAAGGUAGGCAGUUUCGCUGCAAGGUUCAUGCAUGAUGGAAUUUGGCGUUUCUGACAAUCCUGCCUUCUGUAGCUGCAGACUUCUCUGUUAAUCUUCUAGUAACUGUUUUUGGUUCAUGUAUCUUCCAGUACCUUUCACUUGUACACAGUUCUCUCCUACAUUUAGAUUAUCCAGAAACUUGCAACCUUGUAAACUUCCACAAUUUUAUCCAACAAUCCAACUCAUGUACUUCAGGAUUAAUCUUUUACUGUUCUUGCACUUUUCAUGUAGUUAACUUACAUAUUGCAUGGGCCCACUACCUGGGUUCAAAUCAUCAUUUACUUGAAUUGGUUCAUAUUGAUUAUACUAUUGGAGCCACCACUACAACAUUUCCUUACAUACAAAAAAUUAAGGGCCUUACUGAAUGUGCAUCCAAUUUGUAAAUCUGUAUCGCGUAGUAUCAGCAAUCAAAUCAGCAACUAUGGAGUGAAACUGUUACUGGCUACUUUCUGAAAUGUGAUUUCCAGAUCUAUAGCUCAAAUACUCUGGUUCCCAGUGUUAACUUGUCUAUGUUCCCAACUGUUUUUUCGUUGAAAAAUGGGUAUCAUAAUUCAGAAGUUCUCAUGUUCCCAUAUGGUUGGCUAGAUUUUGUUCUUAAAAGAUAAGCAUUCUACUGAAUUGUACUGAAAAAAGAGCAGUGCUAUCCAUUUCUUGUACAUGUUUGUUGUCUUGGCAGAUGGACCGGCGGAGGAUUUAUACGGCAUGUUCAUCAACAAAGUCCGGCACGAGCGCCCACCCAAGAUGUUGGAACAAGUCACGGGGUGAGCGAGCGAUUUGGUGCCGCCGAGGCGCGUCCGUAGCAGAUUUUCCUGCUGCUGUUGGUGUCCUCUGACUGCUGCUGAGCUGCCUGUGCAGGAUUACGAAGUGGGUGCUGCCGCCGGUUAAGAUGAGAAGAAGCUACAUUUAGGAGAACAUCAACAGGUCCCAGAAGAGGAUGGAUGUCGCUGCCUUGGACAUGUUGCGGUUCCAUUGGUAUGUUUGUGUGGCUUGCUGGUUUGGUGUCAUAUAAUGUGUUCGUACCAUUUCAUUAACAUUUCAUCUUCACUGUCGGUUCGAACGGAAGCCUAUGAUCACUAGUAUCACUAGUUACAACAGUAUUACAUUGUAGAGUUUUCUGCAUGGUUUCGUAUCACUAGUUUCAUGUUGCCUUCACAUUCUAGUGUUUAUGAUGGAUGGAUGGAUGGUCUGUGCUGCCAUAUUUGAAGUUGAGAUCAUUCAUAUAGGAUCACAGCCUACUGCUCCUACUUCUCUCAGUCACAUUUGUUUUUUGUACAAUGAGGCUAAGUGUAGCAGGAAAACAUCAUUUUUUCAGAUAAUUAUUGCUUCAGUAUAUUUACUUGGACCGCUUAAUUAUAUCUUGUUGGGAAAAACACCACACACAUGUUUCUUUUGAAAGACACAAACAUGUCUUCAUUGUUGACCUUCUAAAUAACACACCACCAAUUUCUAGUUGUUGAUUUGGCUAGCUGUGAGUGAGAUUUAUCAUAUAUAUCCUCUAGGUUUAGUUUUGAGUACAAAUUAAACACUCAUGCUUGUUAGUACAACAGUGCAAGUCUGAUUAAUUAACUAUUUGAGAGAUGCAUGCUAGGGGCAUAUAUGAUUCUAGACUUCUAAAACUUUUUAGUCCCUUACAUACUUUUGGCUAGCUCAUGCCACACUGCAAGCAAUUCAAUAAUGUGAUAUCUGAAACUACUUUACCAUCUCUUACACGCAAGGUGCAUGGAGGUAGGCUCAGCUUCGGCAUCUUCCAUUGGACUGCCCCGCUACUGCCGGCGACGCUGUUUGGCAUCGGCACGGUGAGAUCCUCUCUCUCCUCUGCUCCGUGCCUCCUGUCCCCGGUUGCUCUGAUGAUCCUCCUGGCCUUCGAGCCACGGUCAUGGUAUGGGUCUAUGGCCAUCGUAACAUGGCUGUCUGGUUAGGCUGCUAGAGUCCUUUCAUAAUCAUCAUGCCACUGUUUGUUUUUAAAGUUUGCUCGUUUCUCUGUUUACCAUGCUAGCUAACACUAGCCUACCUAAUGCAAACUUGCUGAAUAUAUGUAUGGGUAGUUCCUGGUGGUCACUUAUUAUCCAAGCGAGUAGUUUUGGUACUUGGUGUUUCAGCUAGCUUGCACCUCAUCUAGCCGCUCACUGUUAUUGUUACACCUGAGAUGAUAUUUUGUUCUUCGAAAGACGUUUUAAAAUUUAGCAUUACCAUCUAGUUCAUGCGCCUCAACAAUACAUUACUUUGUUUGGAUGCAGGUAUACUAGAGCCCAUAAAAGCUAGUAUCAGGGAUGCAAAACUAGGAGUGGGCAAGCAAGAGGAGGAUGACUUCUUCACAUCGAGUGCUAAUUUCUGUAUUUUCUUUUGAGAUUCUUCUAGGUUGAUGCUUCAGCUCUGAAAACUGGUAUCUGAUUGUCAACAGUGAAUCAAAUGAGUUAUUGUAUUAUGUAAACCUGGAGAUGUAUUGUGUGAUGUUAUAUGAUGGAUGAUUUUAAUUCGACUUGGAGUUUUCUUGAUUUGAAUAUGAAAUAGUGCUGCAUUUAAUAUUGGACAAAUAAUUGGUUGAAAAGGCCCAAUAAAUAGAAAUGAAACCAAAUUCUGGAAAAAAAAGUUGCUGAAUUCAAAAAUGAAAAAAGGCCAAAACUGAAACUAGACCAAAUGUAUUUGGGCACUAAAAGGCCAGGGCCCAAAAAAAUUCAAAAAAGAAAAACUAGAAGUGGCUAUAAAUGGGCUAAGGCCCAAAAAUAAGCCCAAUAAGAAAAGGCCCAAAAAAAUAAAACCAGCCCAUGUGAUCAAUUGAAAUGGGUUGGGCUGAUUUCAACUAUGACGUUUUGAUUUCGUCAUAAUUUUGCCACGUAGGACUGGGUUGCAUUGUCAAAGACGAUUUAGGAUCAUCGUAAAGGUUAUGAUGAUCCAUGAAUCAUCGUAAAAUUUACGACGAUUUUGUUCAAAACGUCGUUGUUGUUCAUUUGUGACGCUCCGUUUUCGACGCUUGGUUUUUCGUCGUUGUUAGCGCAUAUAUCUCCAUAUGUGGUUUAGGUAAUUGAUGACAAUUCCUAUGGGCUAAUGGUUGCCUUAAGUUAUAUUUAUAGGAUUUGUCCAUAGGCACUUCUUGAAGUCCAUCUAUUGGGUUCAAGGAGUUUAUAUGAUGACCAAGAUGGUAUUCAAGGUAUUAUCCAAAGAAUGGUCAUAGAGACACUAGGUUGAUCAAGAUCUCAGACAAAGAGUAAAUCAAGAUGAUCAACACACAAAGCGUAUAAGAUGUACCAAGAGGGAUCAAGUGAUCCCAUGGUAUGGUAAGCAUUGUCCAUUACGUGUUUGUGUACUAACNNNNNNNNNNUAGUAAAUCAAGAUGAUCAACACACAAAGCGUAUAAGAUGUACCGAGAGGGAUCAAGAGAUCCCAUGGUAUGGUAAGCAUUGUCCAUUACGUGUUUGUGUACUAACCCAUGGUCUUUGUGAGAGUCCUAUGUGCGGGUUAGGUGUGCUUCCAUGGGCUUGCGUCGAAAGGAAGAUCUCAUACAACCCAUGAAGGAUGACGUCAAGUGGUGAUCGUCAUCAAGAUUGUGGUGUGCAAGUUCAAGUGGAUCAACACGAAUAUAUCAUUGAAACUAUUGUUAAUGAUCAUGUGUUGAUAAGGACAAGCUCAUGUGCUAACAAUGACAAGAUCAAGAUAAGCAUUCCUGAGCACUACAUGCUUGAUUCUUGUNNNNNNNNNNAAAAGGAAGAUAUCAUACAACUCAUGAAGGAUGACGUCAAGUGGUGAUCGUCAUCAAGAUUGUGGUGUGCAAGUUCAAAUGGAUCAACACGAAUAUAUCAUUGAAAUUAUUGUUAAUGAUCAUGUGUUGAUAAGGACAAGCUCAUGUGCUAACAAGGACAAGAUCAAGAUAAGCAUUCCUGAGCACUACAUGCUUGAUUCUUGUGGAUGUUCACAUGGUGGACAAAUGAAGAUGAAUACAUAAGCUAGGCUUUCCACAUUGUGUAUGGGAGAGCUACUUGAAGACUUCAUCAUGUCUUGCUUUCAACUUGAGCCAAGAAGGAACAACAACAUCAAGCUCAAGUGAAAGGGCUAACUCAAAGGUAUCAGUUCCUUUGACGUUAGUUGUGUGGAGUGAUGAUCAGCGAAUAAAAGUAUACACUCAAAUAUGGAUCAUCAGUACCCUUUUAUGAUUCUUGAGUCCUUAGGGAUCCUGCACUAUUAAGAGGGGAUCACAGGUUUUGCGAUGAACUUGCUCAAACUACAUCUCCACUGCUCUGCUCAUACCACAUCUCCACUGCUCUGCUGUUAUCAGAUAACAGGACGAGUGCCUCGGACAUCCGGCCUCCUCCGGACGUCCGAGGGCCGGACGUCCGACCUGCUUCGGAAAUCCGAAAUCCUUUACCAGAGAAAUCAGAGCCAUAUAACUCGAACUUCCGGCUCCCUCCGGACGUCCGAGGGCCGGACGUCCGACCAGCUUNNNNNNNNNNAUUAUCAGAUAACAGGACCAGUGCCUCGGACAUCCGGCCUCCUCUGGACGUCCGAGGGCCGGACGUCCGACCUGCUUUGGAAAUCUAGAAUCCUUUACGAGAGAAAUCAGAGCCAUAUAACUCGGAAUUCCGGCUCCCUCCGGACGUCCGAGGGCCGGACGUCCGACCAGCUUCGGAAAUCCGGAGCUUUGCACCAGAGAAACUUGAGCCAUAUAACUCGGACUUCCGGCUCUCUCCGGACGUCCGAGGGCCGGACGUCCGUCCCCUUUCGGAAAUCCGGAAUCUUGCACCAGAGAAGUUUGAGUCGAAUAACUCGGACUUCCGGCCUUCCCGGACGUCCGGUGCCCGUUCAACUCCACAGUGGUUCCAGAUAUAUUUACAGCCCUCGGACGUCCGACCCCUGUCGGACGUCCGACCCCUUGUGGACGCCAGGACAUCCGUGAACUGCUGGAUGUCCGACCCCUCUGUGACUUAAACUGUCCCCAACGGCUGUUUUUCUCUCCCCACUAUAAAUACCCCCCCCCNNNNNNNNNNAUGACUUAAAGUGUCCCCAACGGCUGUUUUUCUCUCCCCACUAUAAAUACCCCCCCUCCCACUUCGUGAGAGAGUGCCCAACACAGCCUUAUCCUCAUAAGAACACAUUUCUACCUCACACACAUUUGCUCACACCAAAUCUUAGAUCCCAAGAGCAUUUCUGAGCCCCUUUGAGAGUUGUUCCAAUCAAAAGAUGGAUCGUCUCCCUCUCCUCCUCUCAACCCAAGCUAUUUGAGAUUUGAGCAAGUUUUGAGCAGUCCCCGUGAUCUUGUUACUCUUGGAGGUUGGAGACUCCUAAGCGGUAGGAGUUCUUCGGAGAGGAAUCAAUCCGUGUGAUUUCCCCCGGAAAAGUUUGUGAGGGUUUGGAAGCCACCUCAAAGGCUUACCACUAGUGGUUGAGAAACGCCUUCGUGGUGUUAUCUCAAAGGGAGAAUAGGGUGAGCCUUCGUGGCGUUGGUGUGCCUUCGUGGUAACAUCCACCUCUCUAAGGUGACUAGCUUCCCUCCAAGGAAGUGAACAUCGGGAUACAUCUUUGUCUCAGUGACCUUGGUUAUCCUUAACCCUAAUUCCUGACUUGUGGUUUACUUGUGUUACUUGAGCAUACAUACAUUGCAUAUUGUUUGUGCUCAUUAUAUUGUGUUGGCUAUUUCUUGUACAAGAUUAAUCAUUCAAGCAUACCCUUUAUAUCCACACGUUCACACUUGCAGCUUUUGAUAUAUCGUGUGAUAUAGUGUGAUCUAGUAUCUUGUGUCGUUCACCUACUUGUCGUGUGAUAUAGCUCAAGUAAGUUUGUGUAACUUACUUGUGCUUGUUAGUAACUGUAUUGUGUCCAUCUUGGUAGAUCGUGUUGUUGAUACACGUUUGAAGUGUCUAGUGCAUUUAGGAUUUGUGCUUGACAAGUACCCUCUUAGUUUAUUUCCGCGUUAGGUUCAAGCCAAAUCCGAAGAAGUUUUUAAAUAGCCUAUUCACCUCCCCCUCUAGGCGUCAUUGAGGUCUUUUCAAUUGAUAUCAGAGCAAGGUCUCUCUUUAAUUAGGUUUCACGACCUAGAGAGUAUCGAUGUCGACUAUUGAAUUAGUGCACAAUGACACCUUUGACUUUGAUGGCACAAAUUAUACCCUAUGGAGAAUUCAUAUGCUUCAUCACUUUCGAGCCAUGGCCCCAAAUACUUUACGAAUUGUUCUUGUAGGGAUUGUCGACAAAAAGGAUGAUGCAUCUUCAUCUACUAAUGAAAUGUAUCUUGAUUGUGAGGCUUUUCUUGCCAUUCAUCGAACCAUAAGUCCUGAAGUGUUUAAGUCUAUCUCGACUUGCAAGUCAGCUCAUGAAGUUUGGACUAAACUUGAAGAUAUAUAUGGUGGGUCCAAUCUUGAUGAAGACGAUAUUAUGAUGAAGAAGUUGGUGCAUGAGCUCUUCACUCUUUUCGAUCAUAAAGAGUCCACCACUACUUCCAUAUCCGAUUGCUUGCACACCUCAUCAUCUUCAAUCUCACAAGGUAACGAUAUGGUGAGUGAAGAAAUACAUGUUGAUGAAAAUUUCAUAGCCUCCAUGGACACGAGCAUAUCGAGCACCACACAUAGUGUAAAUUAUUGUGCUGAUAGGUCAUGCAUUUCACCUAAAGAUCCCUCGACAAAUGUAUGUGGUCAUAUGCCUGCUUUCCCAUGUCCUCUUGAUCAAAAUAUCUUGUUUCUCCCUAGUUGUUCUAUGACUAAUCAUUUAGGGGAAACCAAGAAAUAUGAAGUACUUUUCACUAAUGAAGAAUCUGAUUCACCAAAAGAAUCAUCAUCAACUCCUCCAGUUCACAUGUGCCUCAUGGCAAGAGGUAAUAAUGAGGUAUCAUCUUCCCUGUGCAAUAACGAUGAUAUUUGCGAUGAGGAUGAUGAUGAUGACUUGACUGAAAAUAUCUAUGUGAUCAGUAAAAUUCUUCAUAAAGCUGAAAAUAACGCUCUUCGAAGAUUCCAAGAUGUUCUUGCUUACUUUGAAAAUUGUAAUGUUUCACUUAAUCAUGAACAAGUUAAAAGUGAACAACUUGAACAUGAGCUUGAGAAGAGUCAUCAAGCAUGUAGAGACUUAAGAUCUUCAAAAGGAGAGAUUGCAGUUGCUCAUGAUAAACUUAAAAAGGAUUUUGAGGUCCUUCUCCUUGAAUGCAAGAAUGUCAAGGGAGAGCUCAUCAAAACCUCUAAGAUCUAUGAGGAGCUUCAAUCUCCUCAUGAGAAGUCUCUAAUCGCUACUUACUCCUCUCAUAUUGUUGAUGAUACUUGUGCAUCUAACCCUAUCUCUUUUAAAGCAUCAACAUUGAAGGAGAAUGUUGAGCUACGUGCUCAACUUGAUUUACUAACUAGAAAUUAUGGGGAGUUGGAAGAAAACCAUGUAAUGCUCACAAGCUCCCAUGCCGAUCUUCUAACAUCCCAUAAUGUGCAAAAGUUAGCUCAUGAGGCUAUCAUCACCAAGGUAACAUCAAGUGAGCCUCAUGUGGACAAUGGCGCCACUUCUAAUCAAAGUACUAUAUUUCCAUGUGCUAGUCCUCGUAAUUCGUCUACUCAUAAUGUUGCUACCUCGUGUGAUGAAUUACUUUCCUUGCCUUGUUGCUCUAACAAUGAAGCUUACACUUCCUCUAGUACUUGCAUUGACACUAACCGUGCAGAGGAAAUCGAAGAGCUCAAGGCCCAAGUCACUUCUUUGAAGAAAGACUUGGAACAGUGUCAUGAAGGGAUCUCCACACUCAACAACGCCCUGUGUGAGCAAACAUUUCCAAAUGACAAAAAUGAUGUUGGAGUAAACUCAAACAAGAACAAGAGUGGCCUAGAACGAGUUAAGAAUUCGGCCAAAAUCAUUUGCUUCAAGUGCAAAGUUAAAGGGCACCAUGUUAGAUCUUGCCCUCUGAAGACGAAGUCUCAAAGUCACAAGCAACAAGGGAAGCGGCCACAAACUCAAUCACACACUCAGCUACAUGUUGAAGGAAGGCCUCUUCCCAAUAAAACCCAAGCCAACACUUUCCGAGGUGAGAAAUCUACUGGGAAGAAAGCAAAGGGUAGAUGUUGCUACUUAUGUCGUCAGAAGGGUCACGUCGCUUCGUCUUGCACAAGAGGUAACUUAUCCAACCCAAUCACUAUUGAUGAUAUCUAUUCCCUUGGGAAGGAUAAGGUUGGCAAUGUGUUUGCCAAGUCUGUUGGUACUCAAAAUGGUGUCAAGAAAAGAACCAUUUGGGUUGCCAAGCCUAUUGUGAUUAACCUCUUAGGACCCAACGUAGUUGGGGACCAACAAGCUCAAACUUGAUCAAUAGGUGAUUAUGGAGGACAUUAGAGACUUGGAUACAUAAUGAAUAAUUAAGGGGUCUUCAUCAUUCAUAUUAUCUCAAGCCAAGUCAUUUGGAUUAUCGAGUUUCUAUCUUAUAUCCAAUNNNNNNNNNNCUAACUGUAUUGUGUCCAUCUUGGUAGAUCGUAUUGUUCAUACAUGUUGCAGUGUAUAGUGCAUUUAGGAUUUGUGCUUGACAAGUACCCUCUUAGUUUAUUUCCGCAUUAGGUUCAAGCCAAAUCCGAAGAAGUUUUUAAAUAGCCUAUUCACCCCCGCCCCUCUAGGCGUCAUCGAGGUCUUUUCAGUCGUGAGAUCGUCGUAAACUAAAAAACGCGACGAUGUAGCGACGAAAAUAUGGCUUCGUGUAUUAGCAUAUUCCUUGUAGUGAACGGUCCCUAGAUGAGAUCUUGCGGAGACAGAAGCUUGCGGCGGCGGAAAAGUAUUUUCGUGGCUCUCUCUAGAGGUUUCGUGAUUUUUGGGAAUUUAUAGGCGAAAGAGGUAGGGCAAAGGAUCCACGGGGGGCCAAGAGCCUGCUAGGCGCCCCCCCCCCCUAGGGCGUGCCUAGGGGGCUUGUGACCUCCCCCGAGACCUCCUGCCUUGGUUCUCAAGUCCCCUGCGUAUCAUCUGUUAUGAAAAAAUCAUCCCGCGGGUUUUAUUCUGUUUGGACUCCGUUUAAUAUUCUCUUCUGAAAAAGGUCAAAAGCACAGAAAAUUAGAAACUGGCACUAGGCACUAAGUUAAUAGGUUAGUCCCAAAAAAUGAUAUAAAAUGGCAUAUAAAUGCAUAUAAGACAUCCCAAGUUGAUAAUAUAAUAGCAUGGAACAAUCAAAAAAUAUAGAUACGUUGGACACGUAUCAAGCAUUCCCAAGCUUAACUCCUGCUCGUCCUCGAGUAGGAAAGUGAUAAAGACCGAAAUUUUUAUGUGGAAUGCUAAUCAACAUAUUUGUUCUUUGUAACUUCUUUAUUGUGGCAUGAAUGUUCAGAUUUGUAAGAUUCAAAACAAUAGUUUAAUAUUGACAUGAAAACAAUAAUACUUCAAGCAUACUAGCAAAGUAAUCAUGAACUUUUGAAAUAACAAGACCAAAGGAAGUUAUCCACACAACGAAUUUAAAUCAUGCACAACCCCGGUAUUGGCCAAGUAAUUGUUUUCGCACUCUUACUUUCUCAAACUUUUUCAACUCUCACGCAAUACAUGAGCGUGAGCCAUGGAUAUAGCACUAUAGGUGGAAUAGAGUGUGGUGGAGGUUGUGAGGCAAAAAAGGAGGAAAUGGUCACAUCGACUCGGCGUAUCAAUGGGCUAUGGAGAUGCCCAUCAAUAGAUAUCAAUGUGAAUGAGUAGGGAUUACCAUGCAACGGAUGCACAAGAGCUAUAAGUGUGUGAAAGCUCAAAAAGAAAACUAGUGGGUGUGCACCCAACUUGCUUGCUCACGAAGACCUAGGGAAGUUUUGAGGAAGCCCAUCAUUGGAAUAUACCAGCCAAGUUAUAUAAUGAAAAUUCCCACUAGUAUAUGAAAGUGACAAAACUAGAGACUCUCUAUCAUGAAGAACAUGGUGCUAUUUUGAAGCACAAGUCUGGAAAAAGAUAGUAGCAUUGUCCCUUCUCUCUUUUUCUCUCAUCAUUUUUUUUUGUUUGGGCUCUUUGGCCUUUCUUUUUUUUCAUUUCAUUUUUUUGGUGGGCAUAUUUGGCCUUUUUUUAUUUCCUCACAUGGGACAAUGCUCUAAUAAUGAUGAUCAUCACACUUUUAUUUACUUACAACUCAAUACUUAGAACAAUAAUGACUCUAUAUGAAAUGCCUCCGGCAGUGUACCGGGAUGUGCAACGAUCUAGCUUAGCGUAUGACGUUGAAACAUCUCGCUAGCUAUCUUACGAUCAUGAAAUGGCAAAAUGAAAAUGAUGGCACAUGUCAUGAGAUGGAACGGUUGAAGUUGCAUGGCAAUAUAUCUCAGAAUGGCUAUGAAAAUGCCAUAAUAGGUAGGUAUGGUGGCUAUUUUGAGGAAGGUAUAUGAUGGGUUUGUGCACCGGCGAAAGUUGUGCGGCACUAGAGAGGCUAGCAAUGGUGGAAGGUGAGAGUGAAUCUAUACCAUGGACUCACAUUAGUCAUGAAGAACUCAUAUAAUUAUUGCGAAAGGUUUAUUAGUAAUCGAAACAAAGUGCUAAACGCAUACUCCUAGCGGAAGGGUUGGUAGGUGUUAACCAUCGCGCGAUCCCGACCGCCACACAAAGGAUGACAAUCAAUAAAUCAAUUAUGCUCCGACUUCCUAACAUAGCGGUUCACAAUACGUGCAUGCUAUGGGAAUCACUAACCUCAACACAAGUCUCUACUAUUAAGAGGGGAUCUGCCGUCUGUCGUGAUGGUUCGACCACGACAAAUCCUCUGUCGCUACAGCUAGCCCUUCCACCGAUUUUUAUUCAUCCCUCCAUAAACCACGCGGCCCUUUCACCGAUUUUUUCCCAACCCUCCAUAAACCGGUUGAAUACUCGACCACCAGCCCUCCCCUCAUAAACUUUUCACACGGAAAAAUCGGAUCUGCUCGACUCCAUCCCACCCCGUCGCACGAAAGAAAAAAAACGCACGUACGCACAUCCCACCUCCGACCUCCCCAUCUUCCUAAUACCUCGUUCACGAUCUCGUUUGACCUCGUUCGAUCCCCACCUCCCCCUUCGUACGACAACCAGCAACGUCGCCAAUGGACCACCCCCGACGCGCACUACUGAUUUCCCUGCGACGUCGUCGUCCGACUUCCCAUGAGUCGCUGCCUCACGCCCAGAUCCGGUCGCCGUCUCAUGUCUAGAUCCGACCGCCGUCGAGCCUGGUUCCAUCCAUCUACCUCUAUGGAAGGCGACUUGAAGCAGCUAAAGGGUUAGUAUCCCGGCUAAGGGACCAGCCCCGCCGUCCCUGCUCGGCACAUGCGCAACUAGCAAGGUCAGCUCUUAGCUUCCCCUCAUAGGUUCCCUCCCAACUCUCAUAAUUGUCUUCUAGAUGCGUGACUUCCUAAUCCCCCACCAGAUUCACACCCUUUAGCGAUGGUGCACGAUGGUGCGGAUGCCUCUUCCUUUUGUAGUGGAUGCGGCUGCGUGAUGUGGUAACGAGUCCUUGUUGUUGCUCUGCAGCCAAAACAUAUCCACAAGAUCAAGGACUUCAUGUUGACGGUGUGCCGAAAGGACGCGCGGUCGGUGCGGAUCAAGAGGACCAAGGACGACGCCGUCAAGUUCAAGGAGCGGGUCGGUGCGGAUCAAGAGGACCAAGGAUGUCAUCAAGUUCAAGGUGCGCUGCUCCACGUACCUCUACACGCUUUGCGUCUUCGACACCGACAAAGCCAACAAGCUCAAGCAGUCCCUCCCACCAGGUUCGUCCUCGUGCCCCUCACCUCCUCCCCCAUUCAGGUGACGACAAGUUUGAUCUAUGAUGUCUGACUGCUUACACAGCCUCCCCCGCUGGUGCUAUCCAAGAUAGAUAUGCAUAGCCUGUUUCGUGUUUGACGCUCGCUAUAAAUAGUUGCAUUAGGAUGUGUUGCUGCUCCACACGAGUUUUGAAUGGUUUGUGUAUAAACGUACGUAUGUUUGUGGAAAAAAUUUGUUUGUGAUAGGCUAUUGUGUUUGUGUUGAUUUAUCUGGGAUAAUAUGCACUGCAAGCAAUACAAUCUUGGAUAAUCGUAGGCAUACUGGUAUAUGAUGCAAGUUGUUGACUUUCGUGCUGAUAUGCUACUUUUACACAAUUGCUUGAGAUAUAUGCAUCUUACUGGGUUGCAUAUGUUAGUGGUGGACACUCAGUUGCGUUGGAGUAGCUUAGUAAUGCACAAUACAGGGUAUCACUUCAUCAGGUUUUAUGUUAUCUUGUUAGUUAUAAUUUGCACGCCUUUCCAUUGAUAUUAUAACUACAUAAUGCAAGCAUAGUCUUGUUAAUCUCAUGAGGACAAUAUUUGAUGUUGAGGAACUGCUCAGUUCUGAGCCAGAUUGUGACUAGAAUGUCUGCUCGAAUUGUUUACAUCCUCCUUGGUUCAGUCAUGUUUCGCAUCAUAUCCGGUCAUUAUUAUUUGUAUUCAAUAUGGCAGCCGGAUCUGGGCUUGAGACGACGACUUGUGGGAUGUCCGCGGUCGUUCAGGCGCUGGUGGAGACCCUGGGACGGCGAUGUCGCAGGGAAAUCAACAGUGCGCGUCGGGGGAGGUCCAGACGUGACAGAAAAGUGAUGUGGGGAAGGCAAGUGAGGGACGGGGUUGGGAACAUGUUUCAGAAGAUGGUGAAUGGAUGGCGAUAGCGACUAAUUCUUUAGCUACCAAUAAACUUUAUAAAGUGAAGUGUAGUUGCGAGCAGAAGUUCUUUGAACUUUAACUAGAGAUAUGCAUCUCACUGACUCACCCUUCCCCAGUUGUAUUUUUUGUACAUAUUGGUUUUGGGUGUUUAUUUUUUAAUGGACUAAUCACAAUCACUAAAACAUUAUGAUAGGUUACUCUUGUACCGUUCACAUAUACCAUUGAGGCACCCACCUUACAGUUUGACAUGCCAAUAUAUUUCUCUUUACUGAGUGUUAUGAUCUCCAUUUGAGAUCGUUGCAACAGGAUAAUAUACUGGCAUGUAACUUCUUGGAAAAUAUUCUUUGAAAGAUACAUUUUAUGUACUUUUUAUAUCUAUGUUUAGAUAUUUUCCAAUUGCUUGUUGUACCUUGGUUUUCACUUGUAUGUCACAAGUUACAAUAAAAUGCAUUGGUUCCCUCCUAUUUUGCAUCUUUGCAUGCAUUAUGUAUUGAAAACGGAGAACUAAAUGUGCUUACUUACUAAUGUUUCUUACAUGCAUCAUCACUUCAGGGACGGUAAGGUGGCAUCGGAGAUCGACAUGUUGUCCUUGCCCUACUACAUUCCUCCAUUCGGCACCAUGGUCGUGGUUGCUGGCGGAUAUAGCAAGGUGGAUGUGGCUAUAAGGAUGUACUAGAGCAAUGUUCAGGCAAGCUCGCCUGGUCGAGCAUGAGAAGGGAGCCGAAGAACGUCCACCAUGUUCUGGUGAGAGGUUCAGGGUGGGUGGGUGGUGGUAAAAUUUCUUCAUUUUUUGAUUUUUUUUAAGGUGAUAGGAAAUAAGGGGCGUUAUUUAUAUAUGACGACACUCCUGAUGCUCAUGCUUGUGUUAAAAAUAGUUUUAUGAAUUUGUAAAUUAUUGAGAUCCCUUCUCUGGAUUAUGAAGUGCAUUUUAGUUUUUGUUUUCUUCAAUUGUAGCAAGUCAAAUGUAAUCUUGCAAUUCCCUUUCCAGUAAUGUUGAAAGAUAGCCAUAAUUUUUUGUCAGAUAAAUAGUUUGUGUAUCAGUGACUCAUUUUGCUGAGUGCUAUUUGUUCAGUUAUUGCAUAGUAUUAAGCUUAAUCUCUGUUAGACAAUCUUGUGAAAUAACAAAUGCUUUUGUAUGCUGCAUGGUAUUUUCUUAUAUUUCAUGUACAUGGUGCAAAGAAAUCGUUUAAAAGUAAAUAAUGGAGUUCUUUUCUUACGCUCGAGAGAAUCAAUGCAACAGGAAGUAAACAUUUGUGGUUUGAGCAACAGGGAUGAGAAGAACCCGGGCAUGGUUUCUAACUUUUGAUUUAUCAUGGCCACUAUCCCCAAAUUUUCUUAUUCAAUUUAACACAAGGUGCUUAGUACAUGACCCAAUUAUCAUUUCAGCCGCUGUCACACUUUUGUUAACAAUGUCGUAUUUCCUUAUGGUUUGAUCUCAUACCUCUAUGACAAAGAAUAUUCCUUGUAACCAUUGAUGUUGAGAACAUGACGGAGAUUUGGUGGAGUUUAAGAUACAACACACAAUGCCGACAACCAUGAUCCAAAUUCUUCUCUAAAUGAUCUCAAACAAGUUCUAUUGUACGUUAAAUUGUUGUAAGAUCAUGUGUUUCCUUCUUGCAAGUCUCCUAGGCCCAAGCCUUUCUCCUGUUGAUCUUCAUCAGCAGGACUGUGGAUUUUCUCCGACGGGCUGGUGGCGUGAAGGAGAAUCCUGGUGCCUCAGCUUCGGCGGGCUUCGAUCCUCUUUGAAUUUGUUCGCGGGGAAGGAUUAUACGUAGCUCAAAAGUCGGCUCCUCGGGAUGACGAGUUUUUUGUUUUGUUUUUUUGUUAUGCAUACGUGAGGAUGAUAUUUGGUGGAAGGUUCUUCGGCUUGAUUCAAGAGUUCAACGGUGAUGACUACGGCUCCGGGGUGCAGGUCCUCAGAGCACGGUGUUGUUCGUUGAUUGAAAGAUCUCUAUGUAAUUUCUACAGUAUUAUGUUUGAGAUGCUUUAAAUAUGGGUCUUUUGGAAAGAGGAAAAUGUGCUAAGAUCAACAGGCAGCUCCUGAAGGUGUUUUCCGUUUAGAUGUUGCCAAGUGGUACCAGUAUGAAGUUUCUUCGGCCUCGGCGCUACCGGUUCCUCCUCCUUUCCGUUCGGGUGAGCAAGGCAGGUCCAUGUACGUCCCCUCACCGCCGUCCCUUUCGCCUUGCUUCCAUCCUCCCCCACCUCCUGCUUCCUGUUCAUGCACCUCUUCUCUUCCGUUAGUUGCCUCGUUAAUCGCCUUACGUCACCGGGGUGACGAAAAAAUUACCGGUCGUUCGUUUUUCCCUUAAAUCGCCGCCGCUAAGUUCUGGUUCAUCAACCGCUAUGACAUUUGACUACACAAGGGCACUAGCCACCCUGCCCGUAUCAAUCCCGUCCGGGAGACCUAGGUUUGACCCAAGGUACUCCCCAUUUUUUCUAGCCUUUUCUCAAACCUCAAAUAUUUUACAGAUUAAAGUAUUUUUUAAAAUAUUCACAUUUUUCAAACCUCAAUUUCAAAUUUAACAUGUUAUUUUUUUCACAAAGUCCAUCUCGCAAAAUUGUGGCUUAAUUGUCACCUUAACCCAUUGUCAAAUAUCACCUAUAAGUGAUAAAAAAUAUUCAUGAUUUUAAAUAUGUUCAUGAUUUUUACAAAAUGUUCUGAUUUCUAAAUUGUUCAUGAUUUCACGAAAUUAAGAGUGAUAGUGUAUCUGAGUGAUGCAGUAAAAUAUGGUCAUCUUCAUUGAAAAUUAGGAAAAAAAAUCCGUUGCAACGCACGGGUCUUUUGCUAGUAUUUCUAGAUUCACAACACCCUACUAACAUGACUCUAAUAUUACCAUAUCCAUAUCUCAAAACUAAUAGUGAGGAAUCGAACUUCUUCUUACUAAUCAAUGCACUUGAAUAUGAAAGUGUUUAUUAUAUCCUCUUUGGAUGCCUAUCAUAUUUAGUAUUAAUUUCAUAGCACACGCCAAUAACCAAGUUACUUAGAGAGAGCACUCUCAAAAUGAUAUAAGUGAAGAUCGAGAGUUUUUAUUUCUACAAAUUAUGACACCACCGUGCUCUAAAAAGAUUUAAGUGAAGCACUAGAGCAAAAUCAUCUAGCUCAAAAGAUAUAAGUGAAGCUCAUGGGAGCAAAAUUAUCUAGCUCAAAAGAUAUAAGUGAAGCUCAUGGGAGCUAAAUUGCCUAGCUCAAAAGAUAUCAGUGAAGCUCAAUGAGUAUUCUAACAAAUUCACGACGAGUGCAUGUACCUCUCAAAAAGGUGUGCAGCAAGGAUGAUUGUGAUAAAACAAAAAAGCAAAUACUCCUAUAAUACACGACGCUCCAAGCAAAACACAUAUCAUGUGGUGAAUAAAAAUAUAGCUCCAAGUAACGUUACCGAUGGAUUAAAGACGAAAGAGGGGAUGCCUUCCCAGGGCAUCCCCAAGCUUAGGCUUUUUGGUGUCCUUGAAUUUGGCUUGGAUGACUUGGGCAUCCCAAAUAUUAAGCUCUUUCCACUCUUUGUUCCAUUUGUCCAUAAGAGCAUCACCCAAAACUUGAAAACUUCACAACACAAAACUUAAACAGAAACUCGUGAUAUCAUUAGCAUAAGAAAACAAACUACCAACUUUUUAGGUAUUGUAGUAAACUUGAUUUCCAUUUAUAUUGAUGUUAUAUUACUGUAUUCUCACUUUUCUAUGGCUCGUACCCCCCGAUACUAACCAUAGUUUCAUCAAAAUAAGUAAUCAACACAACAAAAACAGAAUCUGUCAAAAACAGACUAGUCUGUAGCAAUCUGUAUAUUUCGUAUACCUCUGCUAUCCCAAAAAUUCUGAAAAAUAUGAUAAUUAGGGAAAUUUGUAUAUUAAUCAGCAGCAAAAAGAAUCAGCUCAAAAUAUCUUUUUGGAUAGGAACUAAAAAUAAUUUCAUGAGCACAAAGUUUCUGUCUUUUUCAGCAUGAUUAAACAACUAUCACCAAAACUAAUCAUAAAGGUUCUACUUGGCACAAACACUAAUUAAAACAUUAAAAACACAAUCAUAACAGAAUCAUGAUGGUGUGGAAUCAACAAAACAUAAAGUGAAAAGCAAAAAUAAUUUUAUUCAUUGGGUUGCCUCCCAACAAGCGCUAUCGUUUAACGCCCUUAGCUAGGCAUUGAUAAUUCGAUGAUGCUCACACAAAAGACAAGAAUUAAAGCACAACGAGAGCAUCAUAAAGCAUGUGAAAAUCACAUCUAAGUCUAACAUACUUCCUAGGCAUAGGAAUUUUGUGAGCAAACAAUUUAUGGGAACAAGAAUUAACUAGCAUAGGAAGGCAAAACAAGCAUAACUUCAAAACGUUGAACACAUAGAGAGGAAGCUUGCUAUUAUUGCAAUAUGUAAAAGCAUAUGUUCCUCUCUCAUAGUAAUUUUCAGUAACAUCAUGAAGGAAUCUUACAAUAUAACUAUCACACAAAGCAUUCUUUUCAUGAUCAAUUAUAGCAUAAGGGUCAUCACCAAAACUUGGGAAACAAAAAAUAUCAUCUUCAUCAGGCAUAGCAUCCCCAAGCUUGUGGUUUUGCAUAUCAUUAGCAUCAUAGAUAUUCAGAAAAUUCAUACUAACAACAUGGCAAUCAUGUUUUUCAUUCAAGCAGAUAUCAUGAACCACUUUAUAAUUUUCUUCUUUCAACACUUCAUCAAAAAUUUCAGAUUCAUGAUUUUCAAACAAAACUCCAUAGAGAUAGUCAAGUGCAUUCAACUCACUAGCAAAGUGUUCAUCAUAAUUUGGUGUUUUGAAAAGAUUAGCAAGUGGAUGAGGAUCCAUAUCAAUAGAUUUUUAGCAAGCGAAGAUGCAAGCAAAUAGAAGGCACAUGGCAACACAGGCAAACAUAGCAACAAAAAGGCGAACGGAAGAAGAGCGAAUAAAAAGGGAAAUCUUUUUGGUAUUUUCGGAAAAUUGUUUUAGAAGUGGGGGAGAGGAAAACGAGAGGCAAAUGGCAAAUAAUGUAAAUGCAAGAGAUGAGUUUGCGAUAGGUACUUGGUAGAUAUGCUUCACUUGAAUACUCCCCGGAAACGAUGCCAGAAAUUCUUCUUGCUACUUCUUGACCUUGCGUUGGUUUUUCCCUUGAAGAGGAAAGGGUGAUGCAGCAAAGUAGCGAUAAGUAUUUCUCUCGGUUUGAGAACCAAGGUAUCAAUCCAGUAGGAGUAUCAAGAUGAGGCACCAAUGCACCUGCGCAAAAACAAACAAGCUUGCACCCAACACGAUAAAGGGGUUGUCAAUCCCUUCACGAUUAUUUGCAAGGUGAGAUCUGAUGGAGAUGAAAGGUAAAUAGAAAUAAAAGUGCAGAAAAGUAUUUUUGGUAUUUUUGUAGAUCUGAAUAUAUGAUGUGUAAAAUAGACCCGGGGGCCAUAGUGUUCACUAGAGGCUUCUCUCAUGAUAGCAAGUAUUACGGUGGAUGAACGAAUUACUGUCGAGUAAUCGAUAGAAUCGCGCAAAGUCAUGAUGAUAUCUAAGGCAAUGAUCAUACAUAUAGGCAUCACGUCCGAGACAAGUAGACCGAUACUGUCUGCAUCUACUACUAUUACUCCACACAUCGACCGCUAUCCAGCAUGCAUCUAGUGUAUUAAGUUCAUAAACAACGGAGUAACGUCUUAAGCAAGAUGACAUGAUGUAGAGGGAUAAAUUCAUGCAAUAUGAUAUAAACCCCAUAUUUUUACCUUUGAUGGAAACAACACGAUGCGUGCCUCGCUACCCCUUCUAUCACUAGGUGAGGACACCGCAUGGUAUGAACCCAAAACCAAGCACUUCUCCCAUUGCAAGAAUUAUAGAUCAAGUUGGCCAAACGAAACCCAUAACUCGAAGAGAAUUACAAGGAUAUGAAAUCAUGCAUAUAAGAAAUCAGAGGAGACUCAAAUAAUAUUCAUAGAUAAUCUGAUCAUAAAUCCACAAUUCAUCGGAUCCCGACAAACACACCGCAAAAGAAAGUUACAUCGGAUAGAUCUCCAUGAAGAUCAUGGAGAACUUUGUAUUGAAGAUCCAAGAGAGAGAAGAAGCCAUCUAGCUACUAGCUAUGGACCCGAAGGUCUGUGGUGAACUACUCACGCAUCAUCGGAGAGGCAAUGGUGUUGAUGAAGAAGCCCUCUGUGUCUGAAUCCCCCUCCGGCAGGGCAACAGAACGGUCCCCAGAUGGGACCUUGCGGAGACAGAAGCUUGCGGCGGCGGAAAAGUAUUUUCGUGGCUCUCUUUUGAGGUUUCGGGAUUUUUGGGAAUUUAUAGGCAAAAGAGGUAGGACAAAGGAGCCAUAGGGGGGCCACGUGCCUUCUAGGCGCGCGCCCCCUAGGGCGCGCCUAGGGGGCUCGUGACCUCCCUCGAGACCUCCUGCCUUGGUUCUCAAGUCCUCUGCGUAUCUUGUGUUAUGGAAAAAAUCAUCCCGCGGGUUUUAUUCCGUUUGGACUCCGUUUAAUAUUCUCUUCUGAAAAAGGUCAAAAACACGGAAAAAACAGAAACUGGCACUAGGCACUGAGUUAAUAGGUUAGUCCCAAAAAAUGAUAUAAAAUGGCAUAUAAAUGCAUAUAAGACAUCCCAAGUUAAUAAUAUAAUAGCAUGCAACAAUCAAAAAUUAUAGAUACGUUGGAGACGUAUCAUUCAUCACGAAGCUCAGUAGCUUGGUGGCACUGACUUUGGAGAACUAUGUCAAUCACUGUCUUAUCUGGAAGAUCAACUCCCACUCGAUUCAAGUGAUUGUAGCACCCACACAAUCUGAGCACAUGCUCAACGAUUGAGCUUUUCUCCCUUACUUUGCAGGCAAAGAAUCUUGUCGGAGGUCUUACAUCUCUUAACACGAACAGGAACCUGAAAUCCUAAUUUCAGUUCUUGGAACAUCUUAUAUGUUAUGUGAUGUUCAAAAUGUUUUGGAGCCUCAAUUCUAAACCGUAAAGCAAGACGCAUUGAACUAUCAUGUAGUCAUCAGAACGUGUAUGUCAGAUGUUCGCAACAUCUACACACGAUGCUUGGGGUAGUUCACCGAGCGGUGCAUUAAGGACAUAAGCCUUCUGUGCAGCAAUGAGGACAAUCCUCAGUUUACGGACCGAGUCCGCAUAAUUGCUACUAUCAUCUUUCAACUUAAUUUUCUCUAGGAACAUAUCAAAACAAACAAGGGAGCUACAGCGCAAGCUAAUCAUCUACAACAUAAUUUGCAAAGAUAUUCUGACUAAGUUCAUGAUAAUGAGUUCAAUUAAUCAUAUUAUUUAAGAACUCCCACUCAAAUUGACAUCCCUCUGGUCAUUCGACUGGUACAUGAUCCAAAUCCAUCAACUCAAGUACGAUCAUCACGUGGGUUGAGUUGUCUUGAAUGGUGAACAUCUCUAUGUUGAUCACAUCUACUAUAUGACUCAUGUUCGACCUUUCGGUCUCUAGUGUUUCGAGGCCAUGUAUGUGCAUGCUAGGCUCGUCAAGUUUAACCCCGAGUGUUCUGCGUGUGCAACUAUCUUGCACCUGUUGUAUGUGAACGUAGAGUCUAUCACACCCGAUCAUCACGUGGUGUCUCGAAACGACGAACUUUCGCAACCGUGCACACUCGGGGAGAACACAAUGUUAUCUUGAAAUUUUUGUGAGGGAUCACCUUACAAUGCUACCGUCGUCCUAAGCAAAACAAGGUGCAUUAAAGGAUUAUCAUCACAUGCAAAACAUAAGUGACAUGAUAUCGCCAUGCACUUGUGCUUUUGAUCUCCAUCUUCAAAGCACCAGCAUGAUCUCCAUCGUCACCGGUAUCACACCAUGAUCUCCAUCAUUGUGCUGCCAUCGAGGUUGUCGUGCUAACUUAUGCUUUUACUACUAAAGCUACUAAACUAGCGAUAUAGUAAGCAUCACCAAGCGCAAAAUAAUUAAAGACAAUCCUAUGGCUCCUGUCGGUUGCCGUAGCAUCGACAUGCAAGUCGAUAUUUAACUAUUACAACAUGAUCAUAUCAUACAUCAAAUAUAUCAUAUAAUGUCUUUGGCCAUAUCAUAUCAUAACAUACCCCGCAAAAAUAAGUUAGGCGUCCUCUAAUUUGUUGUUGCAUGUUUUACGUGGUUGCUAUGGGUAUCUAGCAUGAUCGCAUCUUACUUACGCAAAACCACAACGUUGAUACACAAGUUGCUAUUUAACCUUCUCCAAGGACCACCUUUGUCAAAUCUAUUCAACUAAAUUAGGAGAAAUAAACACCCGUCAGCCAUCUUUAUGCAACAAGUUGCAUGUCACUCGAUGGAAGCGGUCUCUCGUAAAUGUACGAGUAAGGUUGGUUCGGGCCGCUUCAUCCAACAAUAUCGUCGAAUCAAGAAAAUACUAAGGAGGGCAUCAAUCUGAAUAUCAACACCAACAAACUCCUUUAUGUUCUACUUGAGAUGUCAUCUAUGCAUAGACCUAGCUCAUGAUGCCACUGUUGGGGAACAUUGCAUGCGAAACAAAAAAUUCUUACGCACACAUAAGAUCUAUCCAUGGUAAUGGCCAUCUACGAGAGGAGAGAUCGGAUCCACAUACAUUUGUAGAUCGCUAAGAGGAAGCGUAUAUAGCGCGGUUGAUGUAGUUGAACAUCUUCACAAUCCAAAUCGUAGUCCCUCCCGCGAUCUCAUCAUGAUCCGUCUCGCGAUCCCAUCAUGAUCCAUCCCAAUCUAGUGCCGAACGGACGACACCUCCGCGUUCAGCACACGUAUAGCUCGAUGACGAUCUCCACCUCCUUGAUCCAACAAGCAAGGGUGGAGAGGUAGAUGAGUUCUCUGCCAACAUGACGGUUUGGCAGCGAUGGUGGUGGAGCUGAUCCGGCAGGGCUUCGUCAUGUACUGUCGAACCGAUCUAGAGGUUGGACGAACUAGAGGAGGGAGAGAAAGCUGCGCCAUAACCUAAUCGGGGCGGCUGCGCGCCAUAACCUUUUCCGGGUCGGUUGCCUCUCUCCUCUCCACUAUAUAUAGGAGGGAGGGGAAGGGUGGCGUCAUGACCUAAUUGGAUCCGGGGCGAACCCCAUGACCAAAUUGGGGUCGGGCCGCACGCCAUGACCAAAUUGGGGUCGGCGAUGCUAGGAGGAGUCCUUCUCCUAUUUGGACUCCUCUCCACCUCCUCACUUUGGACGCAUAGGCCCAUAGGGGCUGGCCGCCCAGCCCACCACCGGCUGGCGCGCCCACCUCUUAGGCCUAUGUGCCCCCCGGGGUGGGUGGCCCAUCUCAGUGAACCCCUAGAACCCAUUUGUCACUCACGGUACUUUACCGAUAUUGUCCAAAACCUUUCCGGAACUGGUAUACCUCUUUCCUAUAUAUCAAUCUUCAUCUCCGGACCAUUCCGGAACUCCUCUGAUGUCUGGGAUCUCAACCGAGACUCCUAACAACCUUCGGUCACCAACAUACAUAACUCAACUAUACCGAAACGUCGCCGCACCUUAAGUGUGUAGACCCUACGUGUUCGAGAACUAUGUAGACAUGGCCUGACACACUCUCCGGUCAAUAACCAAUAGCGGGACCUGGAUUCCCAUAUUGGGUUCUACAUAUUCUAUGAAAAAGUUUAUCGGUUGAACCUCUAUGUCAAGGAUUCAAUUAAUCCCGUAUACUAUUCCCUUUGUCCAUCGGUUUGUUACUUGCCCAAGAUUCGAUCAUCAGUAUCUCACCUAGUUCAAUCUCGUUACCGGUAAGUCUCUUUACUCAUUUCGUAAUACAAAAUCCCGUGACUAACUUUUUUAGUCACAUUGCUUGCAAGGUUUGUUGUGAUUUUGUAUUACUGAGUGGUCCCUAGAGAUACCUCUCCGUCAUAUGAAGUGACAAAUCCCAGUCUUGAUCCAUGUCAACCCAACAGACACCUUCAGAGAUACCUGUAGAGCACCUUUGUAGUCACCCAGUUACGUUGUGACGUUUGAUACACAUAAGGUAUUCCUCCGGUGUCCGGGAGUUGCAUGAUCUCAUGGUCAUGGGAAUAGAUACUUUGACAUGCAGAAAACAGUAUUAAUAAACUGACACGAUCAUAUGCUACGUUCAUAGUUUGGGUCUUGUCCAUCACAUCAUUCUCCUAAUGAUGUGAUCUCAUUAUCAAAUGACAUCUCAUGUCUAUGGCCAGGAAACCUUGACCAUCUUUGAUCAACGAGCUAGUCCUUCAGAGGCUCACUAGGGACAGUGUGUUGUCUAUGUAUACACACAUGUAUUUGAGUUUUCAAUCAAUACAAUUCUAGCAUGGAUAAUAAACGAUUAUCAUGAACAAGGAAAUGUAAUAAUAAUUAAUUUAUAGUUGUAUCUAGGGCAUAUUUCCAACACAGUAUACUCCACACCCAUGGAUCCAUGUUGUACUUCACCAUCCAUGUUUGACAUCAUCAAGAGGGACGCGGGUCUUUGGGUUUUGGCGGGGUAAAAAAGUUGAGCUCAAUCAUGCCGGGAGAGUAAUCCGCGCUGAUUAAGGGGGCACGCGUGUAAUCCCUUCUGUACUCCAGCUUCGGCCUCUCCUUCUUAUUUAAUAUACGAAGCACAUCUUUUGCCCGGUUUAAAAAAAGUAACAUACUAUCACUCUCUGUAAAUUAGUACUAGAUAAAACAGAUGUUUCAUUCUCUGUAAAUUGAUAGAUAAAAUGGAUGCAGGUGUGAUCUUGGGAAAGAAGGAGCCGGCCGACGGUAAAUGAAAGAGUGAGAGACCAGAGAUUCUUCUUUGUCGGUGGUAAGGUGGAGACGCUGCCAAGGCAAUAUGUUGCGUACAUCCUCACUCCUUUUCUUCUUUCAUUUUUUGGUAGUUUCAAGCAGGCGUGUACCUAUCUUGCUAUAUAUACUAAAUUGUUUGAACUACUUCCUCCGUUUCUAAAUAUAAGUCUAUUAAAGAUUUUAUUAUGAAACUACAUACGGAUGUAUAUAGACAUACUUUAGAGUGUAGAUUCACUCAUUUUGCUAUAUAUGUAGUUCCAUAGUAAAAUCUUUAAAAAAACUUAUAUUUAGAAACAUGUAUGUAGCAAACUGUAUUAGGAGAUCGAGAUAAUCAGGAAGAUAUAUAAUGCGUGUGUGUAUGAAUUAAUUAUUACCAUCACCUAGCUAGCUUGUUACUUGAAAGAUCGAGGCGAACCUUUAUUGUAUGGAUGGUGUGUCACUCGUUUGCUGUGAUGUUUGGACACUUUGUUUUUCAGUUUUGGUCCUUCAUGUGAGUUUUAGGUCGUGGUUCCCUCAAAUCAAGUCGGAUCAGCACUCCUAUACGUUAACACGGUCCUACGGCUUAAAAAAAGAAGUUAAGACCAUCCUUAAUUAAUGCUAAAAUCUUAUAUAUGAUGACAUUCUGGGACACUUGUUGAGUAUAUGAGCAAAUUACUAUGAGAUUUAAUCAGCAGUAAAUAAAUCAUGAUGAUAGAUAAAGAGAUUAAACUAAUCAUGCGUAUUAGCAUAAUAGAUGAAUAGAUGAAGUCUAUAGCACAGACUAGAAACAAGAAUUCUAGAACGAUCUGAAGCAGAGGGGACAGAAUUGCAUAUGAUGCAGUGGAAGUCGAACCGCCGGUGUUGAUGCCCAUGAUUUGUCACCUCGGAUCAUGGCGUGUGUGUUACGGACUCUCCGUUUCUGAUCGGAAAAAAUUAAGCGCGUAGGUAUGGGCUCAGCUCGGCUCAAUCCUGCAACUCGCGCCGCAUCGUGACAAGGCGUGGCGUGGCGUGGCGUGGCGAGGCGAGAGAGGAGGAGGAGUGUGCGAGGACAUCUUCUCUUAUCACUCUCUUACAAGUGCUAUAAAAGCACACCUUAUAAGGAGGUGUGUAGCUCUCUCCCAACUAACCCUAUGGGACUAAACUCGAGAGCCAACAGGUUGGUGCCCCGAGCGGCUCAGGCAUCUCACCACUACGAGUAGGGCACCCAUGAUGUGGAGGCCUCGCCCUCUUCCAUGUCCAAAGAGCCAAUCAUCAUCGAUAUCUCCGACGAUGAGGAGUAGCUUGUCUUAUUAGCUCACUAUAAGAACCUAUGUGUUAGUUAGCUAGCCACGUCGGUUAAUCAUGUUCGGUUUAUCCGUUACAUGUGCUGCUCCUGCCUUUCGUUAACAAAUUCUAGUGAAUUUUCCUAUGUACUUUUACCAUACAAUCUGAUCCUCUAGUGUAGAUGUUGUAUAUGUCGUGAAAUGUGGUGCUCACUUAUUAACUGUUUGGUUCGUAUUCAGUUAACUAUUUGGUUCAAUUCUGCAAUGUGAUAUUCAAUUCUUCUCUAUGUAAUUUUUUUUGUCUUCCAUGUGAUAGAUAAAUUGAAUUUGGAUGUACAAAAUACAUGAGAAAUAAAUACAAUUGCUAUAUUUUCAAGUUGUCAAGCAUGCUUGGUUUGGUUAACUGUCUCAUCUUCUAGUAUUUAUAUAUUGUGCAAUGUGCUGCUUAGUUAAUGUUUGGUUCAUUUUUUGUGAUGUUUAGUUAAGUGUUUGGUUCAAUUCUUGAAUGCGAUGCUCAAUUGUUGUUGGUGCAUUUUUUAAUUGUCUACCAUGUGAGAAAUAAAUCAAAUUUGGUUGUACUAAAUACAUGAGAAACAAAUACAAUUGUUAUACUUCCAAGUUGUUAAGCAUGUUUGGGUUGGUUAAUUGUCUGAUCUUUUAGUAUGUUAUAUAUUAUGCAAUGUGGUGCUCAAUUAAUGUUUGAUUCAUUUGUUAUGUUGUUCAGUUAACUGUUUGGUUCAAUUCUUCAAUGCGAUGUUUAGUUUUUGUUUGUGCAUUUUUUAUUGUGUACCUCGUAAGAAAUAAAUCGAAUUUGAAUGUACUAAAUACAUGAUAAAUAAUAAAAUUGUUAUAUUUCAAAGUUGUUAAACAUGGGAAACAAAUACAAUUGCUACCUUGUGUGAUAUUCUAUUGGGAGUAUGUUAUACUAUGCAAUGUGGUGCUUAGUUAAUGUUUGGUUCAUUUUUUGUGGUGCUCGAUUAAUCUGCUGAAUCUGCAACAUGUUUAUUUUUCAUAACUUAUUUUACUGAUAGCAUGCCAACCCUCACUUAACCUGAUCAAUAACUACCUUAUAUGUGUUACAGGAAAACAAUGGGAAGGAGUGAGGUUUACAAUCGAGGUUUGCACAUGCAUGGUGCUUUGUCUAAUAGUAGGACAUUAUUGUGGAAUUGCGGGAACCAUUCUAAUAGUUAGGUUUUUAACAAUUUGGUCUUGGACAUGUAGGUCCUGCCGUGAGAGAUUUUGACCCACUGUUUGACCCUUUUGCAUAUGGAGAAAUGAGUUGUCCAUGAAUAUUAGUCAAGUUAAGAAACUCGGAAAGAUUGUUAGGAUAAAAAAACUAGCAACAAAAAACAACAAGAUCAUUGCCUACACAAUGAAGAAUACAUUAGUGCACUACAGGAUGGUACUAACUAUUAUACCUUGUCUUUUUUACUCCUUUGCAUCAUUUCAAAUAUAGAGGAGAUAUUUAUGCAUAUCCUUGUUUUUACACCUUUCCAAUGCACUUCACUAAUGAUUACCUCUCAAACUACCUGUAUGGUCAGGAGGCGAGGAAGGUAUACAUACAACACCCAUGGUACAAUCUUGAAGUCUUCUUGAAGAGGACCAAGGAUGGACGGUCAAUCAUCCACAGACAGUGCCCUAAAGUUGCAAAGACCUUCAACACCAAUGAAGGCUCAAUAUUCGUCUUCCGCUUCAGCAGUUUUCCAGAUGAGAUUCAUCUGUCUAUCUACCAUCUGUGAUUUUAAUUUCCAAAGGUUAUAGAUGUUGCAUGUAUAACUUGGUGCUGGUGCUGUUGUGUAAUGGGAUAGCUAACUAUAUGCCUAUAUGGUGUAAGUGAGUGAUGAAGCUACAUGAUGUUGUACUCUCAUGUAUUUCAAUUAUGAAAUAUAUUGUGUGCUUAAUAUGGAAUGCCAAUUUGUUUCAUAAAUGGAUUAUUAAUAACAGGUCAAUUAGCCUGUUAAUUGGGCUUCUCCAUUGCAAACGGUUAUUGAGAAAACACCGUGGGCGAUGGCAUAAGACAACACACAUAGUUUUUGCGGCGAAAACGUGUUGGAUCAAUGAACAAUCAAACACAACUUCCUCUUGAAAAUUGUUUGUGUUAGGACUCCUUGCGCAAAUGUUUCCACAUAGAAAGUGUCUGUGAUGGACAACCUAUGUCACACAGUUUCUUCUAUGCAUUCAAGAACGCAAAUGAUAAAAUUGUUAAUAUCAUGUGCAAUGACAACGCUAUCACAAACGAUUUGAUGGGGAAAAUUUUGUGUGAUGUACGUGCGAACCGAAACGUUUAUCUGGGAUUCAUCAUGUGGGAUGUACAUACGAAUGGAAACGUUCUUCUUGGAUUGAUUGUGUAGGAUGUACAUAGAAAUGGAAACGAUUGGGCCUGUAUAAUUAUAUGCGAUGGCUAGCCCGAUCGCACACGAGCUCAUUUUGCACAGCGUGUGUGACCGGAGGACCUAUCCCCGAUGGUUUCGGGGUCAUGUGGGAAGGACCCCCCCUAUCGCCCACAUUCAUUAGGCGAUGGUUUUAAAUGCCGUCUCGGAAAGUGGUUAAAAUCGUUUGUAUAGGUGUGUAUUUUGCUUUGGCCUUCUCUUCAACAUCAAGAGAUCCAAUGAGAUUCGAGAUGGAAAACUCUUGUCUCUUGUGUUUCAUAGAAAUAGCAAGAUUGUUCCACGAAGGUAGAAGCUUGGCAAUGAUGCCUCCGGUCACAAACUUGUCCGACAACACACACUUGAAGUACGCAAGCUCCUUUACAAGACACUAUAUAUCAUGAGCUUGUUGAACAACAGAGCGCUCAUCAGUCAUCUUGUAGUCAUAGAAUUGUUCCAUGACAUACAACUCACUGCCAGCGUCCGAGACUCCAAACUUAGCCUCGAGUGCAACCCAUAUAUCCUUGCCACUGUCAAACGACAUAUACGAAUCUAUAAUGCAAUCAUCAAGAACACUCACAAGGGCGCCCUUGAAGAGGGUAUCAAUCUUCUCAAAAGCUUCCUGAUGUGUAGGAUCAAGAUCGCUCUCAGGCUUGCCCUUGGUGGCGUUAUAGCAAUACCUUUAAAACUAGUAAACUGCUCUCGUGCGCCACCUCUUAUACUGCACCCCUUGAAGGUGGGCGGCUUCAGAUGCGCAACAAAACCACUUGAAGUAAAUUGCCUAUAAUCAGGUUUUUGUAUUGUUGAGUAUAUGAGCAAAUUACUAUGAGAUUUAAUCCAAACAAGCAAUAAAUAAAUCAUGACGAUAGACAUAGAGAUUAAAGUAAUCAUGCGGACUAGCAUAGUAGACAAACAGAUGAAGUCUAUAGCAGAGACUAGAAACAAGACUUCUAGAACGACGGAGGCUUGAUGUCCCUUCUCGCGGUGCACGUCGAAAGGAUGGAUGGAGAAGACUCACAUGACGGCGCAAUGAUUUGGAAUGGUGCGAAACCAUAAGUUGUGACGGUGGCUAGGGUUGGCACGGAACUCGCGUAUAUAUAUGCGUGGUAGGGUGGAGAAACGUGGGCUAAACCCACGUCUGAAUCGGUUAUAGCCCACGUCCGUGGUCUCAGAUCAAUCCCACAACCCGCGGCGUGGCAAGCGAGGAGGAGGAGUGCGCGAGGGAGUCUUAUCUUCUCAUUCUCUUACAAAGUGCUAGAAGAGCUCACCUUAUAAGAAGGUGUGGCUCUCUCCCAACUAGCAGUACCGGACUAAACUUUAGUCCCACUCACACCACACAAACAACUAAAUCAAAUGGAUCAUGAAAAUUUCAGAUUUUAGUUGGGCUUUGGGCCAAAAUUAGCCUACUAAAAAAAUCCAACAACACUUUCCAUGCUUUGAUCCUUCUCUUCAUUCGGUUUUAGACUAUUAUGUACUUUCAAGUAAUCAAAUUGCAAAUCGAACAAAACGUGUCAGCAACUGUUCCCAGCAAGCGAGGUGAGUGUUGAAACUUUUGUAUUGUAAAGUCAUGUCUUAAACUUUUAAGUUCUAACGAAAACAAAUUAAUCUAAGUUCUAACAAUAUUAGUACCACUCAUACAAAUAAGUUGUUUCAAAAUUGGUUUUGGUAUAGCAGAAAAAUGAUAUAGUAUAUAUCUGUUUUUGUCUCAGUUUUUUCUUUAUGUGUAAAAACCAAUCCGCCAAGCCCUCCUUUCCCUCCUUCCCGAUCAACAUGCUCCUUCUUAAUCAAUGUAUGCAUCAAAAGGCAUCGUCUCGGCAUUGCCAGGCACGGGACUAAGGCGCCCGCUGCAGUGUCGGGCCAAGGGAAAGUCCCUCCGGCCUCUGUACAUGCACCCUAGGUCGCCUAGCACCAUCAACGAUGGUGGCGAAGAGAAGUGGCAACAUGAAUGGGUCGCUAGGGGCAUGUGAAGAUUAUUUCUCCUAUUGCAACGAAGUGGCAUUUCUACUAGAGAAUUCAGAAAGUUAUAGUUUAUUUCUGCCUAUACAACAAUGCUUUCAAUUUCAACGAAAAUCGUUAACUCGACUCACAUGAUCCUGGUGGUGUAUUAUUCUGAAAAGGUAGUAUUGUCGCCUUUUAAUGUUUUCACUCAUAUCCAUGGUCAUAUAUGCUGCUUCGAUGAAACAACUUAUUAAGAGCAUCUCUAACAGCUGCUCUAUAUAGGGAAGCCUCUUUUCAAUUAUAGGGCAGGUAAAAUCGAGAUAUAGGGCAGCAAAACAGCAGCCGUUUUACCAGCAGCCCAAGAUAGGGCAGCACCUGUCCCAGUAGCUGCCCUGUAUAGGGCACGGCUGCACAACAGUUUACUCCUAUUUUGCUACAUCUUUGCACAUAUACCUCAUAAAAAAUAUGAUAAAUAAGAUAAAAUAUAAUUCAAACAAAUAAUAAUUCAAUAGUACUCAUUAUUACAACAAUAGUUCAUCAAAUGGUUAACAAAGUUGCUCACAAAUCAACACACAAAUAGCAAGUUUCAUCACAAAGAAGUAAUAAUCAAGUGCACGGCGCGACCCUUUGACGUCCAUACCAUGACCACCAUUCUUCCAUAAGAUCUUUCUGAAGAUCUUUGUGCACAUCGGCAUCACGGAUGUCGUGGUAUGCAUUCAAGAAGCGCUGAACUCGGUCUCCACCUCUCCUGGGACGCACUGGACGUCCCAUCAACUCAUAGGUGCCAUCGACCACAUUUUGCCCACGCUCAUCUUGAAUAAUCAUGUUAUGCAUGAUUAUACAUGCAGUCAUGAUGUACCAAAGCAUCUCCUGGUUCCAAAAUCUUGUCGGUCCCCUGACAAUAGCAAAUUGGGCUUGUUGUCGGCAUGAGCUUGGGGUAAAUCGGAUUGGGAUUGAAAUAGUUGCGCAUGAGCUAGUUGUUGGCAUCAAUGCGUUCCCUCCGAAUCACCUCACGGCCAUAGACCGAACCUCCGUGCUUGGGCUUCUUCCUCUUGUGCAAAAGCAAAAUCAAAGCAAUGUCUUCUUCAGCCUCCAAAUCGUAUUCCUCAUCGGAUGAAUCCUCAAUCAAAACCAUCUACAAACAAACUAGACCGUAUUAAAAAGUGUAAUCCUAAACUACAAUCACAAAAAUCAAACAAAUAGUUGAGUACACAUUACCUCGAACACCUUGCGGGCUGCCGGGCCGGUGGGUGGCAGCUGCGUCGCCGGAGCAAGCCUCUCCUAGUUGUUGAUGUCGUCUCUGGGUGUUGCAGGCGGCCAAGGGGAAGCGUACGAGCGUCGUCGGGGUCGCGGCGGCGACAGAAUCGGCGUCAGUGCCCCCGAUUCGUACAGUGGCGGCGGCGGCGGCAGAUCGACGAUUCCGGCGACGGGCAGCGGUAUUCUGGCGGGGGCGAGGUGCGGGAGGGACCGGCGAUGGACGGGUGGCAGGUUUUGGGCAGGGGCGCGGCCUACGGGCGGCGGAUUUGCGGCGGCGGCGGCGGAUUUGUGCCGGCAGGGUCGGGGGCGGGAGAGGCUGGGAAAUUUCCGGGUGGCAGUUGGGCUGCGCGCGCGCGUCGUUUGGAAAAUAGGGCAGCCACACAAGUGUUGUAUAUUUGCAACAGUUGGACCAAAUUUAGGGCAGUGUUGUAAAAAAUAUAGGGCAGUUGAUGAAGAUAGGGCAGCUGUUGGAGCACGUUUUUGCCUCUUUUCUGCCCUAUAUGACAGUUUUUAUGCCACACUGCCCUAUAUAGGGUAGCUGUUAGAGAUGCUCUAACUCCAACUACAGCUGGUCGGGGUCGUUAUGGAUAGGGCGAUGGUAGCGGACAUGGCACCAACAGCGGCUGCUCGCCCCACCCCUUGGGGAGCCCUCCAUGACAGCACACGAGAGGAAGGGGUAGGCCCAUGUCGAUGGAGGAGGUAGGCACAACGCGGGCAACAACGGCACAGUGCACUUCGACAAGGGAGACUUGAGAAUGAGGAACGAUAAUGAACUUUUUUAGAGACAAACCUCACCUACAUUAUUGAUUCUCAACAAUGUUCAUCGGUACAAGGUUUCUGUCAUGGGGCAUGCCCAACCAAAUAUGUCUCCCUACAUCUAAAUUACAACCAAAUUUGGCAAGAUUAUGAGCUAAAGAACGAAAAGGAAGAUGAGUCAAUGCGUCCUUUCGUCUAUGUCAAGUGCUUUGUUUGGGUCAAGCGCAUAUAGUUAAAAAGGGAAUAAAAUCUUCCAAACCAAACUACGAUCUGUAAAAAUCCCCUAACAAAAAAUUCUUAACAAAAAAUUUGUAAAAAAACUUAAUACGGUAAAAAUAGUUUAAUUUUUUCACAAUUUUACAUAUGUUCAUACUAUUUUUGUUUCAAAAUAAUAUGUUUGCACUUUUAAAAACCUUAAAAUUUCCCCAAAACAAGGUUCCAAUUUACUAAAAAAACUUACAUUUGGAAAAGUACAACAAAAAAUCAUUCUUUUCAAAUGAACAUGUGUUCAAUCAAAAGUUGUUCUUUAGAGAAAAGUUCCAAUUUUCAUAAAAACAUUAAAUAUUCUUAAAAGAGUGUCCCAUUUUAAUGAAAUGUUAACUUUUAUUAAACAUAAGAAAAUUUUCAUGUUUAAUUUGACUAUGGAUGUUUAUAGAAAUUGGAUAUAAAAAUGAUGGCUUAAUGGCACAUAAAGGAGGUUGUGUCUUUCUUUGCCCGAUGCAAACGCACGGGCAUUUGUACUAGUACUUAGCUAAUACACAAUUUUAUUAGAAUUAAGCAAUGCUCUAAUGAGAAAAAUUGCUUGGAAUCAGGGAUAUACCUACCUCUAGUGUCAUGUUUGAUAGCUUAGGUCGUGGAUAGGAAUAGUUUUGUCCAAAAAACGAGUAGCAAUCAAGUGAGAUUUGAUGUCACUCAAAGCCAAACCCAGAACCUGCAGUAGUUUUCAAUUUUCAAGUUGUCUGAGCCUCCAGAUUAUGUCUGUUGUUUCGACGUCUAACACUCACCGGACUUUCCAAAUCGUGAGAUUCCGCCGAUAGCUCCACUUUGCUGGUCACUUGAUAAAGCACCUCCUUGGGAAAAAGUACCACUCUGCGUUUCUAUCACGAACAUUUGCGCCAUUUUUUACAUUAUUUGGUAUUAGUGUGGUCAGAAUUGUGGAAAUCACACUAUUAUUCAUUUGUACAAUAUAGGGUAGAGGGGAGGUGAGGAGGGGACGGGUAGAGCGCGGCAGCGGAGGUCGGAGGUGGAGGGGAGGGGAGGAGGGGCGAGCAAAGCCGGUCCCAACCAUUUUGGGGCUCGAGGCGAUACAAAAAACAAUAUUUUUAUACUUAUUUUAAACAAUGUGUAUAAUAUUACAAUUUUAAUUAAUUAAUUUUAUUAAUUAUCCACAUAAUAAUGUUUCUAAAUAAAAAUUAUAUUAUUCAUUGUUAUAAUCUGUAAUGUAUAUCAUUUAAAGUUUUGAUUCUGCAAAUUUAAAUUACAUGAUGUACCAUAAAUUAGGUUUCUUGUUAGAAACGAUCAUUCAAAUUAGUUUUCCAAUAUUGCACAAAUUGUAUAGUAUAUAUACAUAUAUCUACAGACCUAUGCAUGUAUGACUAUAUGUUUUUAUAUUAUUGAAUGUCAAGGUAGAGAUUUUCAAAUCAUAAUUUUUUUAAUAGUGGUUUCUAGUGUAUAUCAGGCAACCAUAUUUGUAGAAAAUUCUAGGGCAUAUUUAAUGUGACAUGCAAUCUGGGUUUUGGUAAUCGAAUCAUUGAAGAACCAAAAAUGCUUUUGAUUGUUCCUUUGUGUAUGAUUCUAUUACCUGACAUGCUCAUUUAGAUUCACUUAGUUUCAUUUGGUGCAGAUGAGAUCUCCUACCCUUUUCUCAAAUGAUAUUUUUGUGCGUUGGUUUAACCACUAAAAUGUAAUUAUCAUAAAUUUCAUUAUAAUACUAAGACAUUCAUCGCAAAGAGGGACUAGCGUAUCUAAACUCAACUUCGUGGUUUGUUUGCAUAAACUAGUAGUAUAUGGUAUGAACUUGCUCUCCUGUAAAAUGAGGCUCUAUUUUGUGCAUUUAGUGGUAUUUAGAUGUAAUGUUUAAUUAUAUAAUACUUUCUUGUAUAAUUUGUAACUCGGGCCCGGGGCGGCCGCCCCUUUUGCCCAGCCCGUGGGCCGGCACUAGGGGUGAGUACCAUGCAGUGGUGAAGGUGGAAGGAAGGGGAGGAAGGGGCGAGAAACAGUAGUCAUGGAGGGAGUAAGGGGCCGAGAAGCGGUAGUCAUGAAGGGGAGGAGGGGGCGAGAAGCGGUAGCCAUGGAGGAAAGGGGGGUGAAUUUGGCCAUGAGGCAGGGGGNNNNNNNNNNNNNNNNNNNNNNNNNNNNNNNNNNNNNNNNNNNNNNNNNNNNNNNNNNNNNNNNNNNNNNNNNNNNNNNNNNNNNNNNNNNNNNNNNNNNUAACAAGCACAAGUAAGUUACACAAACUUACUUGAGCUAUAUCACACGACAAGUAGGUGAACGACACAAGAUACUAGAUCACACUAUAUCACACGAUAUAUCAAAAGCUGCAAGUGUGAACGUGUGGAUAUAGAGGGUAUGCUUGAAUGAUUAAUCUUGUACAAGAAAUAGCCAACACAAUAUAAUGAGCACAAACAAUAUGCAAUGUAUGUAUGCUCAAGUAACACAAGUAAACCACAAGUCAGGAAUUAGGGUUAAGGAUAACCAAGGUCACUGAGACAAAGAUGUAUCCCGAUGUUCACUUCCUUGGAGGGAAGCUAGUCACCUUAGAGAGGUGGAUGUUACCACGAAGGCACACCAACGCCACGAAGGCUCACCCUAUUCUCCCUUUGAGAUAACACCACGAAGGCGUUUCUCAACCACUAGUGGUAAGCCUUUGAGGUGGCUUCCAAACCCUCACAAACUUUUCCGGGGGAAAUCACAUGGAUUGAUUCCUCUCCGAAGAACUCCUACCGCCUAGGAGUCUCCAACCUCCAAGAGUAACAAGAUCACGGGGAAUGCUCAAAACUUGCUCAAAUCUCAAAUAGCUUGGGUUGAGAGGAGGAGNNNNNNNNNNCGGAUUGAUUCCUCUCCGAAGAACUCCUACCGCUUAGGAGUCUCCAACCUCCAAGAGUAACAAGAUCACGGGGACUGCUCAAAACUUGCUCAAAUCUCAAAUAGCUUGGGUUGAGAGGAGGAGAGGGAGACGAUCCAUCUUUUGAUUGGAACAACUCUCAAAGGGGCUCAGAAAUGCUCUUGGGAUCUAAGAUUUGGUGUGAGCAAAUGUGUGUGAGGUAGAAAUGUGUUCUUAUGAGGAUAAGGCUGUGUUGGGCACUCUCUCACGAAGUGGGAGGGGGGGGGGUAUUUAUAGUGGGGAGAGAAAAACAGCCGUUGGGGACAGUUUAAGUCACAGAGGGGUCGGACAUCCAGCAGUUCACGGAUGUCCUGGCGUCCACAAGNNNNNNNNNNUAUUUAUAGUGGGGAGAGAAAAACAGCCGUUGGGGACACUUUAAGUCAUAGAGGGGUCGGACAUCCAGCAGUUCACGGAUGUCCUGGCGUCCACAAGGGGUCGGACGUCCGACAGGGGUCGGACGUCCGAGGGCUGUAAAUAUAUCUGGAACCACUGUGGAGUUGAACGGGCACCGGACGUCCGGGAAGGCCGGAAGUCCGAGUUAUUCGACUCAAACUUCUCUGGUGCAAGAUUCCGGAUUUCCGAAAGGGGACGGACGUCCGGCCCUCGGACGUCCGGAGAGAGCCGGAAGUCCGAGUUAUAUGGCUCAAGUUUCUCUGGUGCAAAGCUCCGGAUUUUCGAAGCUGGUCGGACGUCCGGCCCUCGGACGUCCGGAGGGAGCCGGAAUUCCGAGUUAUAUGGCUCUGAUUUCUCUCGUAAAGGAUUCUAGAUUUCCAAAGCAGGUCGGACGUCCGGCCCUCGGACGUCCAGAGGAGGCCGGAUGUCCGAGGCACUGGUCCUGUUAUCUGAUAAUAGCAGAGCAGUGGAGAUGUGGUAUGAGCAGAGCAGUGGAGAUGUAGUUUGAGCAAGUUCAUCGCAAAACCUGUGAUCCCCUCUUAAUAGUGCAGGAUCCCUAAGGACUCAAGAAUCAUAAAAGGGUACUGAUGAUCCAUAUUUGAGUGUAUACUUUUAUUCGCUGAUCAUCACUCCGCACAACUAACGUCAAAGGAAUUGAUACCUUUGAGUUAGCCCUUUCACUUGAGCUUGAUGUUGUUGUUCCUUCUUGGCUCAAGUUGAAAGCAAGACAUGAUGAAGUCUUCAAGUAGCUCUCCCAUACACAAUGUGGAAAGCCUAGCUUAUGUAUUCAUCUUCAUUUGUCCACCAUGUGAACAUCCACAAGAAUCAAGCAUGUAGUGCUCAGGAAUGCUUAUCUUGAUCUUGUCNNNNNNNNNNNNNNNNNNNNNNNNNNNNNNNNNNNNNNNNNNNNNNNNNNNNNNNNNNNNNNNNNNNNNNNNNNNNNNNNNGGUUGUAUGAGAUCUUCCUUUCGACGCAAGCCCAUGGAAGCACACCUAACCCGCACAUAGGACUCUCACAAAGACCAUGGGUUAGUACACAAACACGUAAUGGACAAUGCUUACCAUACCAUGGGAUCACUUGAUCCCUCUUGGUACAUCUUAUACGCUUUGUGUGUUGAUCAUCUUGAUUUACUCUUUGUCUGAGAUCUUGAUCAACCUAGUGUCUCUAUGACCAUUCUUUGGAUAAUACCUUGAAUACCAUCUUGGUCAUCAUAUAAACUCCUUGAACCCAACAAAUGGACUUCAAGAAGUGCCUAUGGACAAAUCCUAUAUAUAUAAAUUAAGGCAACCAUUAGCCCAUAGGAAUUGUCAUCAAUUACCAAAACCACAUAUGGAGAUAUAUGCUCUAACGAUCUCCCCCAUUUUGGUAAUUGAAGACAACCACUCCAAGAGAUUUUAUAUAAGGAAAUAAGCAUAACCAAGCGCACACAUACAAGGUAAUAAUGCAUGCGUGCAAGAUGUAAAUGCUUACGCAAUAAAAGCAAAACCCUCUAAACAUAUCCAAAGUAAACUCUCUAAACUUCUCCCCCAUUGGCAUCGAUUGCCAAAAUGGACGAAAAGUUUAGAAAGCCAAUAUAGUAGGUGGUCCUCCAAAAAGUGUGUACUUCUCACCACAUGAGUGCAGAGAAAUACACAAAUACAAUGAUAAGUAGUUGGAGGAAAACAAACUAUAUUGAGGACCCAAAGAUUGCAAAUAAAAGGAUCGUAUGCCACAAAGACAUACAAAAAUAGAGGCAAGCAAUCAAAAGAUUCCAGAUGGAACAAACAAUCAUAUGGUCCUUCGAACCACAUGAAUAGAAGAUAUUAUGAUAAAGGCAACAGAUUGUUUUAUCAAAAACUAGAGAAGCUCCCCAUGAUUUGUGCACUAAUAUGAGAUUUUUGUAUUUGAUACAGGUGCACAAAAUAGGAUCGUUGCUCCCCCAAAAUGAAUAAAAACACACAGACGAGUGCAAGAAGAUAGAUGAGACAAUAAGCAUAUCAAUUGCACAAAACAAAUGGUUGAGCAACAUGUAAAAGAAGCAACUUAAGAAUAGGCUCAACCAAAGUAAUGUGUGUGAGUCAUGGCAUAGGACUUGAGAAAACUAAGAUAAGGAUGAGCAUUACUCAUCAACAUAGUCUUGAUGAAAUGUGAUACAAAGUGCAAGACAUAUCAUUCCCACACACACGUACUAGAAAAUGGGUUCACAAGCUUACUAAUAAACAAAAUAAGAACCAACGCUUGUGACAACCCAUUGUGAAGCUAGGAAGUAAGAACCUUGUCAAGAGGAGGGAUACUAAUUGAAAUGGCAAAACCCUCAUCAAGACAAGCAUGAGGAAAAAUAAUCUUCACGGCCAAAGAGUGCAUCAAGAUGUAGGAAAAUAAGAUACGCACUCAAAACAAAUCCUUUCACGAAGCCACCAAAAACUGAAAAAGGAAAUGCAACGAUGGACGUGAAAGAAAAGAGGAUAUCAAUUAGAGAUGUAACUUCUCUCAUGUGUAAAAGAUUCUAAGUAGAAGACAAUCAUGAUGAUAUAUAUCCACAAAGAAGGAUGUACACACGAAAUGGUUACAAGAAGGAACAAACUAGAUAUCCAAAAGGAAUUCAUAAAUAUAUCAAUGAGAUCUUUUGCUUGGAAGCAUAGCACAUGGCCUAAUAUUUUCUUAUUGUACAAUAUGAACUUCCAACAUACGAACAUCAAAGACAUCCCAACUAGUAGUAAGACGUCAUCGUUCGGAUGCUUUGAGAAAGCAAACAAGUACUACAAGAACGAAUCAAGAGAUUCAUGCCAUGAUGCAACCUGGAAAAGAAAAGAUAGGUUGGGGCCUUUGCAAGAAAAGAAUGCAUGAAGUGGAUACUUGUUACCGAGACAACAUUGGAUUGAUGUAGUAGAUAGUUGUUCUUUGAUCAUCCUAACUUGGCUCCAAUAAUCACAUGGUCUCAACACCUUCCUUAUAGGUGAGCCGAGCAUCCAAUGCAUCUUCAAUUGUUCCUGGAACAGCAAAAACAAACAAAAUGGUGCCCAAACUCAUUGGGACCAAAGAGUUAGAAAAACCAGCAAUACAUAGGACAAACUCCACAUACAUAUGUGCAUAUAGAUAUGAAUUUGAAUUUCAUGCACACUUUAGACAAUUUAUGACAAGGUGGAGUUUCCCCUAUAUAUUGGGUCAAAGAAGGAAAGCAAGCAAAAGAAGUUGUAUAUAGUAGAUAUGCAUGCUCAAGACUCUCAAGAAUCAACUCAACACAAAGUUGAUAAGUCACCAAAAGACAAGGUAUCAAGUGAUAAUAAGAUCCUAAAUAAAAAAGAACUAUCACUUGAAGGAUAUCAAUUAAAAGAUACCUCAAGGAAUGAGAUAUCCAUUGACACAUGCCAAAUAAAAGGAAACAAGAAACCAAUUGAAGGAAAACAAACACGAGGUAUCUAAUUUCCAAAAGUGAGCUAGGUUCCAACAAACCAAGCCCUCGACAAAUUUUCAUGAUGGCACAAAGCAUCAUAAAGAGCAAGACUUUCCUCCCAUCAACACACACUUGAUGGGGAUCAAAAGAUUUUAUGAUGGGUGAAUAAAGAGAGUGUUCUAAAGAAAAUAGGAUAGCUCCCCCAAGGGACGUGCAUUAUAUAGAAUUUGCAUUUAAAUACAAAAUGCACACGGUGGGAUCAUCACUUUCUCUAUAUCUAUAAAAAUACUAGACAUGUUAAAAUAGAUCCAUAAGAGGCAAGGAAGAAAAACGAAACACAAAAUCCAAUGUAAAGACGAUUAGCAAUUCCUAUCACAUGAUGGGAAAACCAAUUGUCAAGGACAAGAAGUAUUUUGGAAGUGAUACUCAUUGGUAGAUCGCAAAUAUAUCCAAGAUCAUAUUUACCCAUAAAACGCAAGCAAAUGACACUUGUAGAGCUAACAUGCCACCUAGGAACAAGAUAAUUUACAAUAUCAACACUAAGUGGCAACACCUCAAAUGUACACAUUUUCUAGGUUUGUAAUAUGCACAUAGCAUAUUACUCCCCCAUAAUGUGAUAAACCAACAAUAUUAACAAGUGCCAAAUUAAAACCGACAAGAGAUACUUAAUGGACCAUAUAGAAUUUGAAUUUCUCAUGAGUAAGACAUACCACAUAGAAACUAGAUAAUCUUGAAAUAUCAAAACUAAGUGGUAUUCUCCAUGUAUACACAUUUAUAUGAUUGUGAGGUGUGCAAAGCACAUCAUUCCCCCACAAUGGGAUAAUCCAUUAAUCUCUCACAAGAGCCAACAAAAAUAGAAACAAGAUGCAAAAAGGCUCAAUACAAGACUCACAUGUACAUGAUAUGCAAACCAACAUACACAUACUCGAUUACUCAAGAUAAGAAAGUUGGAAGCACAACAUAUACAAACGCAUGCAAGGUACAAAACCACAACAUGCAAAGGGGCAAGCACCUAACAAUGUAAACAGUUUAAGUAUAAGUUACCGUAAGGAGGCACNNNNNNNNNNNNNNNNNNNNNNNNNNNNNNNNNNNNNNNNNNNNNNNNNNNNNNNNNNNNNNNNNNNNNNNNNNNNNNNNNNNNNNNNNNNNNNNNNNNNGGGGGGGGGGGGGACACGGGAGGGCAGAAGCCCCUGGACGAGGAGGCCUCCGCAGCGCAGGGUAACGAGGCCGGCGCGGGCGGCAGGAGCGGGAGAGGGGGACUAGUCGUACCCGGGCUACGCCGUGCAGCGCCUGGCCAGGUGGGUGGAGCAUGCGUUGCCUUUCUCCCUGCUCCUUCUCGGCGUCUUCAUCCGCCAACACCUCUAAGGUACGCGAAUCCGCGUGCAACACCUACCUCUUUCUUCUCUAUGUAGCGUGAGGGUAUCCGUCAUUAGGCUAUACGAGUGAAUUUGUGACGCGAGUUUGAUUCGAUUUAUUUUGUUGUGCUCUGCCCAAAUAUUGCGGAGAGUAGCUGGUCACAAGAUGAUGGCAAGUUCCUAAUUCCAAUGAAGUUUAUAUUGUGUAGCUUUCUUCGUGAUGAUUUGGAUUUGUGCAGUCAUGUUCAAGUCCAAUGAUAUUUUGUGCAAGCAGACCGCUCUCAAGGUUUGUACUUCUUACCUUGUGUGUGAGCGUGCUUGUUGUGCUUCUAGAGGUUAAUUAAUUAGUUGUUCUGGCAAGCAGACUGCUCUUAAGGGAUUGAGGUUCUUAUGUGUUGUAUCAACGUUAUUGCUAUUGUUCUAGCAGGCUAUAGGGUUGGGGGAGCGAUGGUGCCAGUGUCAUGUCGGGCUCCGGUUUCGGUCAAUACCAAAGAUUGUGAUGCCUCACCGUGGCUACAGGUUGAAACUUCGUGCUGCAGUUUCGUCUUCCGUCCUGUUUGGUCCAGAGGAAACAUUAGAUCCUUGGUCUUCCGGAUCAAGCGAUGGUGCCCUACAACGUCGCAUUCCUCGGAUGGGGCUUCGCCUUUGAGCUUGCCUUGCUAGGGGGACUGGUGGCUCUAAAAAUCAUCUCACUCUACUGUUGCUCUGUAGUGUAUGAUGAUGUUUCUCUUGUUAUUUUCAAUCUUACACCCUCAGUCAUGAGGUGAGCUUAGUGGAUUGUGAUUUUCAAGACAGCCUACUUGAUGCCAUAUUUACAUAGCUUGCUUGGUGAAAUUCAGUUUAUAGUUUCUCAGUAUUUAAUCAACCGAUCAAAGUUUAAUUUGUUAAACAAUAAGCAAUAAAAUCCUCCACUCUCAUUAUUUAAUUCUGUUUGGCAAUGGAGCUAGUUUCUCAUGCAUCUAUCUUUUCAUUUAGCUAGCUAGCUAACUUGGUCCAUUUCAAUUAAACAUCUAUCUUUUCAUCUAUCUUCUCAUGCAUCUAAUUCUGUUUGGCAGUAAAUUUUGGUUAACACGAGCAGUGAGCAGAGGAAGCAGCGAGGAUGGGCGGUGCGGCCACACCUCUGGGCCAUGGCGUAAGCGGUGGAGCCUGUGGGCGUCCGUAUCAGGUCGAAGGCGAGGCUGUUGUUCGGAUCCGGAGCACGAGCGACGAAUGGAGCCACCACGUCCGCGCACUCCAGGAGUGAAUGGCAAGAUCAGGCCAUGGCAAAGGAUCUCAAAAUACAUGGCGCUAGUUGCUUUUAGGGACAACCACACAGUGUACAGUCUCGAUCUAAUUCACGUAAUCACAUAUAUCAUUCAUGGAUUGGAGAGAAAGUGAGAGGCCCAAGAAAAUCCACUUGAUAUUACAUGUAUAAUGAUGCAAUUCACACAAAUGACAAGCUUAUCAAGAUUGCCACGGAGGUACUCAAAUGAUUUGAAUUUCAAGCUCUUCUUUUUUCUUGGUUACCAGUCUGUAGUAGAUGAUAAGUAUUGGUGCUCAGUUCCUCAACUAUAAUCAGACUUUUACAUAAAACUAAUAGCUGAUUUC